CCAGGAGAAGACGUGGGAAACUUUCUUCGUCAAAGCAUAUCCAGUGGUUGCUUCCUAGUACUGCUCGUGCUUGAUCUUGAAAAUGUCUUCAGACCUAAGUUACCUGAGGCAAUUGGCAAACUAACUCGACUAAGGUACUUUGGCUUAAGAUCUACAUUUCUCGAGAUACUCCCAUCAUCUAUAAGCAAGUUGCAGAAUGUUCAAACACUGGACAUGAAGCAUACUAGCAUCAACACUCUGCCUGAUUCAAUCUGGAAGCUACAACAACUGCGGCACUUAUACUUGAGUGAGAGCUACCGAAGUAAACUUAUGCUUGGACAGGGUACAAAUUUUCCUACAAUCCUCCAGACAUUGUGUGGGAUAUUUUUAGAUGAGGAGACCCCGGUAAGAGAUGGCCUAGACAGGUUACUCAAUAUUAGGAAAUUGGGAUUAACAAUGUCAUCUAAACAAGAGGCAAUGUCAUUUCAACUGCAGGCAGUAGUUGACUGGGUUCUGAAACUGAACCAACUCCGGUCUUUAAGGCUCAAAUCUAUUGAUCAAAACAAUCAGCCAUGGGAUCUAGAAUUGAAGCCUUUAGUAAGCCUUGUGAAUCUUUCUUACAUUUACUUGCUCGGAUGGUUAAGGAAUCCAUCUGUUAUGUCCCAAUUCCCAUACAGCCUCAUCGACCUCACCUUAUCAGCUUCAGGACUUGUAGAAGAUCCAAUGCGGUUAUUGGAUAAGCUUCCCAAUCUUAGAAGUCUUAAAUUGCUUGCCAAAUCUUAUUUAGGGAAAAGCAUGCUUUGCUCUUUUGGAAGCUUUCCUCAGCUUCGAGUUCUUAAACUAUGGAAGUUAGAGCAACUGGAGGAAUUAAAUGUAGAGAAAGGAGCACUACAAGCUCUCCGAGAUUUGGAGAUUAGGUUCUGCAGAAGUCUGAAAAUUCUUCCUGCAGAAUUGCUGCAUAGAACUCUCUUGAAAAUUGAAGUUAUACCUGCCCAGUAAGUUCACUACUGGUCUCUUGAAAAUUGGUUUAUAACCUGCUUAACAUGAGAUGAUUUCGUAAUGUAACCAACAACCUAAUACACCAUUGUGUUUUUCCCUUUUUUGUUUUGUUUGAUUAGGGCGUGAGAAGGUAUGCGAGAAGGUUCUGGUCUACUUCGUGUUGGGCUUUGCUUUCCAUUUCAAUGUUUUUGCUAUUGGAGCAGAUAUUCAAAUACUCAUGAGGGCAGUUCUCAGUUGCAACAAUUUAUAGAGCUCAUUUCGAAUUGGGUUUCCAUCCCUUCUGCUCAUUAUUUUGUUCUACCAUUGAUGAUAAGUUAUUGUCUAUCAAACCUUAAAUGUAUACUGUAGUGUACUUGUUAGUAGAUUCUGUAACUUGUGUGUGUGAACUCUAGAAUCAGGGCAUCAUGAACACAAUGGUGUUGUGGGUGUGAAUGUUAUAGAAUUUUGCUUUGUGAUUGUAUUUGGAUUGAAUAGAAUAGUUUCUUCUUUCAGUUGAUGAUGUUUAUUGGAUAGAAUUUAACUAGUCUGCUGGUAUGCAUAUAUGGAGAAAAUAACAUAUAUCACUAUUCUCUUCUUGCCUAGAUGGGCGAAGGAGAGUGAGAUUAAUCCUCCACCUUCGCUAGAAAUCAUAAUACUAAUAUGUUAAUAGUUUUGAAUACUCCUAUUUGUAGCUUAUUUUUGUAAGUGCAUUGGGUUCAAAGUCUUGAAAUAAGUUAUAUUAAUAUAUCAAAUUAAUGCAUCCUGCUGCUAACAAGCUCAGAUCAGAACCUACCAUCACCUGCAUGGCUGCUUACAUGCUCUGCCCAAUCCACUGGCUUACACCUUCUUUUUUUCCUUUUCAAUUAAGAUGAUUUGGGAGUUAGACCAUGCCAUAUAAUUGUGGAGCUUUUGUUAUAACACCCAUUUGAAAUGGGAUUCAUCCACCUAAAGCUCUUCAACUCCAACCAAAGCUGCUGGUUAUUGAAGGAGAAGAACGGAGAGUUUCACCAACAAGCUCCAUCCAGUGCUAACUGACAUGCGAUAUCUAUCUCUGUCCUGCUUCCUCAACUUUAACCUGUUACAUUCCACCUGCUUCUUCUACUUUUGGUAUGGUCAGUGUGGAUUCUGGAAAUGAACAGCAGAGCAGAGGUUACACCCAAGUGAGACCUUCGGUUUUGGAACCAUAAGUUUAGCUUGUGAUUUGUGUGUUUGAAACAGGGCAAUAAAAAUGCAGUUACUAGAAUGCCAGCAAAAUUUAAGGCCUAAAUUCAUGGCUAAGUAUUGGUGGGAAAGCAUUGAGCUAUAAGAUGUCACUGGGGAACAGUGAUAUAACUGGCAACUGUAAUAGGUCAUUAAUAUAGUGGCAGGAAGCAGACUUUCCUGCACUGCAUGCAUUCUGCAUGAGGCCUACUACUUUUUCAGCACUUUCAAGCACUUAAUUGAUGCUCUCCUUCAUUCUUUUCCAGAAUAUGCCUUGGGAGUUUUUUCAAGAGAGGAAGUACAUAACAGUUGGAAACCAAGCUGCACAACAUUAGAAGUGAAAGAAGAUAGAACAAGUCAGGGAUUUUUUAUGGCUGCAGGAUGGCUAGAGACAGAGGAUCAUUGGUAGUGUGCGCAGAAAUGGGAGAUGAUGAGUCAUGUGUUUGUGGAGAAGCUAUCUUAUUCUGUAAGACAGGGUUGACCGGAUCAACAAACCAAGUAGCCCAGAUAAGGUGAGGAGCUGCUCACUUAUGUUUGCCUUCGCUGAUUUUGAUAAAAGUGAACGUCCAAUCUUCACAUCUUAUCUUCUUUUCAUCUUUUAUUAGAUCUGAUGCCCAUUUCCUUCAUUUAUGUCUUACAGGUUUUUCUUCAUUAAUUCAAGGAUUUAUGCUAUAGCAUUUGGAGUUAUGUUUGAUGUUUUACUUGGAUAUUCACAUUAAGCACAUGAACUAAUAAUUGACAAAAAUUAUCUAUGCUUUCCUAAAUAUAUACAUUCACAUAGGAAAUGCUACCUACACAUCAACUAACCAAUUCGUCUCUGUUUUUUAUAAUGAUAAAGACGUUUGGUAUUUUAGGAGACACAUGGAGAUCUUCCCAAAAAGCUUGAGAAAAUUUGGGAACCCUAUGAUAUGAUUUUACUCUGCCAAAAGUUGUCAUCAUCUUGUUGAGCAAGGAGAGAAAAUUUAUAGGGACAAAAUGGGUCUGAGUCAUCAUUUAGCUCACUUAUUGACUGGGCUGCAACUGUCUUGCCUUUGGUGGCCCAGACAUCAUUUGAGCCUAUUCAUCCAAACAAGAUGAUCAUUUCAAGAGCCUAUUCCAUUUGUUCAACACUUUCAACCGCAAUAACAGCCAAUCCCUUAUUCCAGAAUGAAUCUUGGGAGGAGGCUUUUAGAGUGAUUGUGGUUGAGCUUGCGUUGUUUUAAAUUUUUGUUGAGACCUAAUUUAACUCCUGCAUUUGUUUGUGAAGCUCACUCCAAUGCCUAUGUGGAGUAUUUCUCAUUUGGAAUAUGGUUAGUCAAGAAACUUGUCACAAACACAUUCCCAAAGUAUAUUGAAAUAUGAAAUUUGUGAUAUGCUAAGCACUGACAUAGAAUGUGUUUGGAAAAAAAAAAAUAUGAAUGGUGUGAUAUACCUGCCACCAUUUACUUAACAUUGAAAGUUACUUUAAAUUUGAAAAGAAUCAUUGAAGUGUAAGAUUAACCAAUAUAGCAGUAAUAUUUGUGAACAUGAUGAAACUGAGAAAGCAUGCAUUUUGGGACAUUGGAUGAUGCCAAAAAAUUAAUAACCCCUUGUGGCCUGGUUUGCACUUGCCAAUAUCAUCAUCCGUGUUGAAAGUGUUGCAAAAGGUUGUUAAAGUACCUACAAAGUGUUACAAAAGGUUGUCAAAGUAUCUAGAGUUCUCUUACCAAUACCGUCCCUAUAAAUCCUCAUCAAAACCAAGAACGAAUUAUGGUCUUGAAUUAGCUUUUGGGAAUCCCAAUGAUAUAAACACUUAGUUAUCUAUUUAGGCUAUAUUUAGGUUCGAUGGUGGCUCGUGUGGAGACUUCCAAGAUCAUAGUGUUUAUUUAGUCCAUCACCAACUGAAGCUUAUAUUGAAAUUUCAAAUUGUCAAAAACCAAAAUAACAUUUUAAAAUGUCUCCUCCAAUUACUUUUGAAGUUGUUCACUUCUAAUGAUAAAAUAACCACAUAACAUCCAAAGCUGAUACUAAAACACUACAAAGUUCUUCCAUUCAAAUCAGUCAUUUAUCAUCUAAUUCUUCUCUUCUGACUCCUUAAUUGAAAAUGUUUAUGAGCUUGAAUUCGUCUCAUAUUUGUUGGCCUUCUUCAUUUUGGGAUAAAUUGAAUCAUGGACUAGCAAGUGUAUUGCCCUUGUUCUGAUAUUGUAUCCAGCUCGAGUAUGACCAAUCUAUGUCCUCAAAGUCCACAAUACAAGUGGCAACUUUUAAAAUGCAAAGAUCUUAACCUUAUUUUUGCUUUAUUGAAUUCAAUUUGAUCCAAAAAAAAAAUAUGAAUGAACAAAGCGGAUCUCCCAAAAUUCUUCUGUCUCAUGUGCUGCUGAUUUGAGUAUAUGGUAAUCAUCAUAGGUCCAUUAAUUUCAGUAUGAAUUCAUAAAGACUGUGAACCCCAAUAUGCAAUUUGCUUUCAUCCAUUGAAGAGUAAACUCUACCAGAGGCGCCACUACAAAACCAUUAUCCAUUUCCCAUGCACCUUACCUUUGUCAUGCGAAAACAAAACCUUUCCUUUCCAGAGGCAUCUGUUUGUUUAUGUUGACUCCUUGUGUCACAAGUCUUUCAAAAAGAGCCUACCAGUAUUCCUCCUAGAAAAAGGAUGGAAGCAGUCCAUCGUCUCUGAUAGAGAAAAAGAGAAAGAAAAAGGAACUGAUGGUAUUGGGCGGUCAAUACGUGGUGGUCGCUGUAAGUUGGCUUUCAAAGGAGAAGAGAUGUCAAGAGGAAUGUUCUUAGAAAGAGAAGAUGAAGGUAAUAAUGAAGAAGACGCAGCAUGCAAACUCUAAGUUGAAAAUGGAGGUCACAAUGGAGAACUACACUCAAGAUUUGAUGAAGAUAGUCUUUUCGUCCAAAGUGAUUGGCAAGUCAAUUUUUUUAAAACUACUUUUCAUAAAAAUAGAAAAUAAAAAGAUUUGGAUAAGUUUAUUUACAAAUACUUUUCCAAUUUUAAUUUUUUUUUAAAAUUGUAAAUUUAAUUUAUAUAAUAUUAAUUUAAUUUAAUUCAAAAUUAUAAAAUACAUUUAAAAUAAAUAUUUUUAGUAAAAUAUAAAUACAAAUAUUUUAAUAAAAUCACUUAUUAUAUUUCUCAUAUAAAUGAUAUUAGUUUAGCAUAUAUUAUAAAAAUAUGGACAAAUUGAUUUUUUUUUCAAACUAAAUAAUUAUAACAAUUUAAAAUUAAUAAUGAUUAAUAAUAUUUUAUUUAAAAUAAAAUUUAAAACAAAACAAUAAUAAUUUUUUCAUAUAUAAAUAAACCAAUUUUUUAGUUACAUAUACCCAUUUAAAACUUAAUUAUGAAGAGAGUAUUUAGAACUAUUUUUUAUUUAAUAUGCAAUUAUUUAUAUCAAUUUUUAAUUAAAUUAUUUUUAAGAAUUAAAAGAUCCAUUAAAUAAUUUAAAGUAUUGAAUCUCAUUUGAUUUAUAAUCUAUUUAUUUAGUGAGAAAAUUUAAAAAAUAAAAUUGUUUAUAUAUGAUAAAUUAAAUAAUAAAAUCAUAAGUCGAUGUAUUAGUGUAGACCCCUCUUCGACCAAGAGGUAUUGCUAGACACCCAGAAAGAGUUGGGAUUUUCAUUUGGAAGUAGGGGACGGCUUCCAGGUGAACCUGCAUGGGACACGUAGCAAUGGAAGUGACCACCUUGCUAUGGUGGUGGUUGAAGCAGUGGAGCUGGUGGUGACAUCUUUGCUGAACCGGGGACGGUGAGAGUGGGUGGCAGCUUGGAAGAAAAACGAGCUAGUGAGGGCUGAUUCUGAAGGAGGGGAUAUCUGGAGAGAAAAAUAGAGGAAGUGGGAUAGGGAUUUUCAAUUCCGGAGGGGGAAGGUUUUUCAACAGGAGAAAGACCAGAUAAAUAAAUAAAUAAAAGAGUACCAAGGGAAGUUGGACUAGGCCGUGGGUAGCAAGGAGGAAGGAAGUUUACCAGUCUUUGGAAGAUUGGAGUACUUUCAAGGGUUUGUUGGUGACUUUACUUUAAUAUUUGCUUUGAACUUUCAUGUUGAACCAGUGAUCUUGGAACCCCUUGAUUUCAGUAUGAAAUGGGUUUCCAUUUAAUGGGCCAUUUCGGUUUUUAUUUAUUUAUUUUUUAUCUUAGUUAUACUAUGUUCGAGGUUUGUUCAUUUAUCUGCAUCUAGCAUCAUUUCUAUCUCCCCAUUCUCCAUACACACUACUUUCAGCUAAUCUCCAUACCCAUCACCUUCCCAUCCUUUGUACCCAUCAAACCCACCACCACACCAAAAAGGAAAAAAAGAAAAGGCUUUGGAGUUUGUUUGGGGAGAAGUGGGGUGUGCACGUUAAGUAGAGCGAGAGCCAGAGUGUAUUAAGUUCUUGGUUUGGAAUGCUUUAAGGUUUCCCAAUUCUAAUUUACACCCCCCUGUGUGUAGUUUAGCUCUUCUUUUAAACGUUUUGGGGUUCUGGAUUUUCUGGGUUCUUCACCAUGGCUGCUACUGCUACGCAUGUUAACAUUGGGAUGCCCACUAGAGUGCGGCGCUUGCCAUUGUUCAAGCAGAAGUUUGAGGUCCAGAAGCACUUGAAGUGGUUGAAUAAGCUUGCUGUCAAAACCAUUAAGAGCUCAAAUGGGGAUUUAAUAGACUAUGCAUUAAUCCUCAGCUUCCAGCCUGUUUGGCUUGCAUGGCUGCCCCUUUUAUGCAUUCCUCUGUUUUCUGUAUCAUAGCUAUGCACGGGCAUCCUCCAAUGCACCAUCCAAAAGCCAUAUGUCAUUUUUUUUUCUUCAUUUUUUGAUGCCAAAAUUUAAUUUUCAAAACUUUAAUCUUCAAAUAAUUUUCCGAAAUUCUAAUUUCCAAAUUUAAUUUUUAAAACUUCCAUUUCCAAAUUAUUUUUCAAAAUAUCAAUUCUUAAAUUAAAUUUUUUUUUUUAAAUUUCAUUCUCAAAUAAUUUCCCAAAAUUCUAAUUUUUAAAACUUUAAUCUUCAAAUAAUUUUCAAAAAUUUUAAUUUCAAAUUUAUUUUUUAAAACUUUCAUUUCCAAAUACUUUUUCAAAAUAUCAAUUCUUAAAUUUAAUUUUUUUUUAAAUUUCAUUCUCAAAUAAUUUUCCAAAAUUCCAAUUUCCAAAUUUAAUUUUCAAAACUUUCAUUUUUGAAUAAUUCUUCAAAAUCCCAAUUUUUUUAAAAUUUAAUUUUCAAAAUUUCCAUUUUCGAAUAAUUCUUUAAAAUUCUAAUUUUUUAAAAUUUAAUUUUCCAAACUCCCAUUUUCAAAUAAUUUUAUAAAAUUCCAAUUCUCAAAUUUAAUUUUCAAAUAAUUCUUCAAAAUUCCAAUUCUCAAAUUUAAUUUUCAAAACUCCCAUUUUCAAAUAAUUUUCCAAAAUUCCAAUUUUCAGAACUCUCAUUUUCAAAUAAAUUUCAAAAUUCUAGUUUUCUUUCAAAUAAUUUUAAUUCCAAUCCAGUUUUCAAAUAUUUUUUAAUUCUACUACUUUUCAUCCUUCAUUAGGGUUCUAGGUCACUAAAAAUUUCGUUUUUAAAUACACUUGCUAUCAUUUCUUUCAGGUAAGCACUUUCAAAAAUUUUCUUUGAUUUUAAAAUAAAUUUUCGUUUUCCUUGAUUUUUAAUAAGCAUGAAGGCAAUUUUCAUAAUUCCAAAAUAAUUGAAUUUGUGAGAUUAAUUCAUGCAAAAUCAAUUAGGCUUUGGUGGGGGCCUUACAUAUGAGUAUUCUUUUUCUUAUUAUCAACUGUUAUGUUUAAUGAAUAUUGUAUGAUCUUUGUCUUGUUCUUUGAUACACAUGUGAUAAUUUUGUAUUUGAGUUGACCUUGUUUCCAUGAUAGUGCACUAUUACUUGCUACUAAGGUACGUUCCCACUCCUAUUGCAUUUAUUUAUUCGUUCUCAUGCUCGAUUUAUUUUAUUAUUCAAUCAUUUUAUUGUUAUCCAUUGAUUUCUUUAUCAACUAUCACGUUUGUUUCACCUUAUUUAGUAUAUACCCAUUUUUAGGGGCUUAAAGGGGUGCUACGGUCUUUACUGUACCUUCUUAAUGAGCAACUUGACCCCUAAACCUAGGUUUGGUUUUUCACAAACCAUAUUUUCCAAAUAAGGAGUUACACUUAGGGUUUUUUUUCUUAUUUUGUUUUCCCUAAAAAAAUAAUAAAACAAAAAUAAGUGACAACUCUAAGUCUUUUUUAAAAAUCAUAUUUUUCACCAAAUAAAUAAAUAAAUUAAAAGUGAGUUUCGUCACCAAGUAGGAACGCGUCGUGUGAAAUACGGGGUUCACAAUUAGUUUUGAUCUAUUAUCUUUGAUAGUGAUUAGAUGUAUAUUUGAGUUCCAAUUUAUUUUUCAAAAUUAUUCAACUCAUUAAUAAAUUCAAUACAUUAAAUCUCACUUAUUUAAAAUAUAUUUUUCUAAUAAAAAAUUCAUAAAAAAAAUAUAGUUAUGUACAAGAAAAAUAAUAGAGUCAUUUUCGACCAAUUUUAAUCAACGAAUUUUCAAUAACCGACUUCUAAAUAAUUUCAAAAUUAAGUAAUACAAGUGAUUGGAGUUUAUUUGUGUAAUGAGAAAAUUUAGAAAAAUAUUGUUUUAUAUAGAAAAAAAAACAAUAGAGUUAUUUUAAAUUAAUUUUUAUUUAUAAAUUUCUUGUAUUACAUAGUUUACUAUUUGAGUUUCAAAUUAUUUUUAAAACCUAUUAAACUCGUUAAUGAAUCAAACACAUUAAAACUUUUUUAUUUGGAGUUUCUUUGCCUUAGUAAAAAAGGAAAUUUACAAAAAUAUAAUUAUACAUAAAGAAAAAACUAACAAAAUCAUUCGGAAUAAAUUUUGAUAUGUAAAUUUCUAAUAUUAACUAGACUCACCUUUAAGAUCCACGACUUUCUAGUACUAAUUGAAUUAGUUUUUUAAUUUAAUAAAUAUAAUGUAUCAAAUAUCACUAGAUUUGAAAUUUCUUUGGUUAAUCAAAAUAAUUUAAAGAUCGAAGUUAAAAGAAGUACACAAACUACAUAGAUUUAAGAAAAUAAAUCAUAUUUGAAAAAUUUUUAUAUUGGUUGAUGGAGAGAGAAUAAAAAUAAAAUAAAAUUGUGUCAUAAUUUAUUUGUUUUUGUGAUUUCUUUUCAUGCUAUUUUUUAUUUCUCAUAUUUUUCUUUAAAAAAAGGUGAAAAUAACUUUUACUUAAUCUUUCAAAUUGUUCUCCACUUCACUUUAUUUAUAAAAAUUGUUUUUAGAGAACAACUUCCAAACGACUCAUAAUUUUUUAACAACAAAAAAUUGUUUUCAAAUCAUAUCAUCAACCAAGCUAUUGUUUUUAAAUCUUGUACUUCACCUUCUUAAUUUUAUUGUGGUUAUAUUUAAAUGGAAUCAAAAUAUGCAAUAAAUAAAAACCUCAAGAGGACUCUAACAAAUUAACUUAUACAUUUAUAUACAUCAUCAAUCCACCUAAUAAAUUAACAAUUUUGAAUCAAUUCACUUAAUAAACUAACAAUUAUAAAUAAACUGAUAUUUUUAGUAUGAGAUUCAAAUAUAGAAAAAUAUUUCAACAUCAAUUAGAGUAAUUUUUUAAAAACUUAAAAAAAAAUAAAAAUUAUCCUCCAUAUAAUUGUACAUACUCUUGAGUAUCUAAUGUUUUUCUCUUCAACAAGGUGUUUUGAGUUUUAUACAGAGGAUUACAUAUAUUGCACCAGCUUCUUUAAUUUCUAGAGUUACUCGACCCUUGAAUACUUAGUAGAAUUUCUCAUUUUGUCCAAGAAACUACUACCCAUUUCCCACACCUUAUCAUUUUGUCCAAGAAAAAGAAACUGAUGGUAUUGGGUGGUCAAUAUGUGGUGGUCACUGUAAGUUGGCUUUCAGAGAAAAAAAAUAUAUAUAUAUAUAUAUAUAUAUAUAUAUAUAUAUAUAUAUAGAGAGAGAGAGAGAGAGAGAGGAAAGGAGAAAAGACGUCAAGGGGAAUGUUCGUAGAAAGAGAAGAUGAAGGUGGUGAGUGUGAAUUGGGUUGGAAAGAAAGAAAAUGAGAAAUUAAAAUGAAAAGGAAGGACAAAAUGAUCAGGGAAAGACUUUGUUUUACUUGUUAGUUCCCAGAUUUCCUUGCCAUUGUGAGUUUGUUACUAAGGCCGCCUCCACUCAGUCCUUUGCUGUUCGCGGCCAGCUUCAUCUUGGCAGUAUGAAAUGGCUAUGGAGUUUCGUCGGGGGCAUGGUCGCCUACAGCUUCCUGUAAGAACAAUGAAAAUUUGAUCAAGUCUGCAAUAUCAUCUCCCCUUUUGUGAUCCUCCUAAAAUGCCUGUGUGGACCUGCAUUUUUCACGUGCGUCCCCACUCGAUCGGCGAGACUCGCUUUUUAUUUGUGAAAAAUUGAUUUUUUUUUUAAAAAAGUUGGAGUCGCCACUUAUUUUAUUUUUAUUUUUGAAGGGAAAAUAAAACAAGAAAUAAAACCCUAAAAAAAAUGACUCCAUAAUUUUUGGAAAAGCGUGUCUUUGAAAACCCAAGUCUUGGUCCGAGGAUCAGGUUACUUAUUGGGAAGGUACCUCUAUGAGGUAGCACCCCUCUAAGCCCUAAAGAGGUCUCUACUAACUAAAUCGGGGGCAAUGUGGCAAUUAGUUGAUUAAUUGGGGAUACCUAGAUAGACUAAGGUGAUUUCAAAAAAUAACAUGCCAAAUAGAAUCAAAUUGCCGUAAAAGAAAGGUUAGGAUGCGUACCCGGACCGCUUCUCAAGCGCUAUCAUAAAACAUCAGAGUUAGUAUAGAAGUAUAACACACAACAUGUAUUUAAUCAUAGUGAAUCAAGCAUACAUCUAAACACCUAAGGAUUAUCAAACAUAUGCAUACUUCACAGUGACAUGAUUGUUUACAAAAUUUAGAAAGUAGGUGAUAGGGGGGGCGUACCUGGAUAGCAUAGAUAACUUACAAUGCGCUUCCAUAAGACAUGAGGGAUUAGAUAAUAAUAAAAUAAAGAAACCCUAGCAUGCUUGUUAUCUAAUUAGCAUAACAAAAAUUAUCAAAGUAUAUGAAAACAUUAAUUAUCACACUCAUCCUGUAUACAAUUCCUAAAAAAAGAUAGACAUAAUUUCAACAAGUGACAAAAAUGGCAACAAAAAUAAUUUUUGAAAAGAUUUUCUUAUGUAGGGGUUUCACCAAUCCCCCAAAUUAAUAUACACAAAUUUAGCCCAGAAUUAUCCCAUUAUUUGGGACCACAAGCUUUGAUUCGUGUUUUUGUUCAAAACCAAACUUUUUGUUAGAAACCGAGAAGGAUGCAAACCGAACAAAAUAUGGUUGCAUAUUAUUUUUUAAAACAAAAAAAAAAAAAAAAGGAUUUUGAUCCUGAGGACUCUAAAUGAGUUUUUGAAAUAGAUUUUUAAAAUGAUUUUUUGAGAAAAGUAUUUUAUUUUAAAAUAAAAGGAAUUAAUUUGGAAAAAAUAAAAUAUAAGAAAUAAAAUACCAAACAAAACAAAAACGAAACUUCAAAGUAAAAUUUUUUAGUAAUUAACAAAAAUGAUAAUGGUGAUGGUAGAGGCCAAUCUUCAUGAUUUUCCAAUGGCCUCUAAAAAUUGAUUUUUACAAAGGAUGAGCAAAGUGAUAAACCAAAACCUUAGAUCUUACAAGCACUGAAACUUUAAAAACAUUUAAUCUUAAGAUAAACUUAAUCAAGCACUAAAUAUUAUGUGAUCUCUAAAAUAGUACAAACGAUACGUAUCAGCUAAUAUUGAUGAUCUGGAGUCAUAAAUUUAAUCGACUAACUAAACAAUUGAAUAAAAGAAAACAAACACAUAGAAUAAAUAAAAUUAGUCAAAAAACUAAAAUGAACUAUUUUUAAACACAAAACGACAACAUGGGAAUAGAUUAAACUAAUAGCCUACAAUUCGAAAGCAUAGAAUUAAUGGAAAAAUGGAAUAGAAAAAAAAAUAAAAAAUAAAAAAAAAAUCUUAACAUAAACUAAACAAUAUGAAACCAAUCAAAUUAAUUAAAACUCUAAAAAAUAUCAACAUAAAACAGGAUCAGUCCAAACUAAAAUAAUUAUUUACUUUUUAUUUAUUUAUUUAAUUUAUUUCUUUUUAUUAUUAUUAUUUUUAUUUUAAAACAUGAAUAUAUCAACGCGGAAUGAAAUAAAUUAACCAACUUAAAUUCUAAAACUAAUAAACUAAAAGGAAGAAUCAUGAAUUAUAUUUAACAACUUUUAGAUAUGAAAAGAGUGACAUGGAAGCAAUUGAACUAAUAAACUGAAUUUUAAUAACAUUUAAACUAAAAGAUAAAUUAAAGCUUAAACUAGAAGAAAUUAUGGAUUUCCUAAUUGAGAAUAAAAAUAAUGCAAAUCAAAACUUUAAAUUUUUAACUAUCAUCAUGAAUUAUCCAAACUUUAAAAAAAUCCUAACUUUUCCAUUAUCAACAAAAAUUGCCCAAACUAAUACUAAAAAAAAAAUCUAAUUUGCCAAACUAAACAAAUAAAUUGUAACUACGUUAAACAAAAAUCAUAAUCUUCAAGCUAGGAUGAUAAAUCAAAAUUAAUUUAUUUAGUUAAGAAAAAGAAAUUAAAAAUUAACAUUUAAACUAAAUAUGAAUUUACAAUAAAAAAUAGAAUAGAAUAAAAUCUAAAAUGCAUAGGCCAAAUAGGAAUAAUUUUAAAACUAAAUCAUGAAUAUAAUGUUAUUGGAAAUAAUUAAACCUAAACAAUAGAUAAAAUACCACUCAAUGGACGGAGCAUGACGGCUGCGUGUGUAUGGAGCAAUGGUGCUUGGAGCCGGCUGUGACUUUGAAUCAUGGAUGACAGUUGUGAAGAGGUGCGAGCUGUGCAUGGGCUAUGUAGGCAUGUUCUCUCCAAAAGAUGGAAAAUCCCACACAUAUCAUGCGUCUGUAUAUUCUUUCCGGGUUGUGCAUGAUCCUCUUUGGAUCAAAAUCUGCUACGUAAUGAAGACUCAAAGUGGCAGCCCUCUUCUCUAUAUUGAUGAUGCAGCUGUUUCUUCCCCGAUCUCCAUGGAACAUGUCCAGAAUGCCUGCUGGUUGUGUGCUCCAAAAAUCUGGCAGCAUGAUCGAUUUCCAAACUUAUGGUGCGUGGUGUUCUUUUUUUGUGGGUUGUGCAUGUUUCCCCCGUAUGGCUGCGUCAUGGCUGCCUCAAUUCCCACCCCUCAUGGCUGUCCUCUCCUUUCCUUCUUCUCAAAACUUCUCCAAUCCUAGAAAAAUCAUAUCUCUUCCUCUCCGUGUGCCUCUCUAAAAAAUUUCCUCUCCAAAAAUAUAUUCUCUUCUCUUAUUUAUAUGGCAGCCUCACCCUCAUGGGAAAUAUAUUUUUUUUUUUCCUUUUGGAGAUGCAUGUGGAUAUGGGAAGUAUGGCUCGCUUGGAGAUUCCCAAGUUGCAGCCCAUGGAAAGUGCGUCCAGGUAGCCUCCCAAAGUACAUGCUGCAAUGUGGUGCUUCUAUUUAAAAUAGGUGUAGCCAUGAAUGGCAUCCACAAUGGAAAUCCUUCAAGGCAGCAUGGCAUGUGCAUGUAAGUCUUGGAGAAUGCAAAUCUACUGCGUGUGGACUCCUUCAGGCGACUAUGGAGACUUCCUGAAGUGGCGUGUUGCUGUUAGUGUGGGGUCCCCCAAUUGCAGCCCGCGGAGGUGCAUGGUUGUUUGUCUUGAAGAAUUCUUCUCUAUGGAAAGUACAGGUUGUCAAUCUUAUUAUUUCUCUCUCCCGCUGGUGUUAGCGCCUCCUUUUCCCAUAUAUGCGUGUUGCAAAAUCAACAUCCCACUAUAUGCGGGUUGCCUCUAUGGUAAGUUCACAUAUUCCCACAUGCAACCCGUGAUUUUCUACCAAAAAUUGCCAUGAAAAAGUCUUCACAUGCAUCUCAUGCAUCCACUUGCAGCCGUGUAUGGUUGCCUUCUGAAGACAAGUUGGUGUGCUUUGCUUCACUAAAAUUCAGCAUGCACCAAGUCUCUAUGCAAAGAUGAGUUGGCUGCAACCCUCCCAAAAUUUCUCCAUUAACGGAUCCCAAGUAUCUCCACCAAAAUCAUGCAAAGAUAAAUACAAAAAAUAAAAAUUAGAAAUCAUGUAAUAAUAUCAAAAUAAAUAAAUAAAUAAAUAAAUAAAAUAAAAUAAAAUAAAUCUCAAAUAAUGCAAUCAAUCACAUGCGUUAAGAAAAAAUAUAUAUAUUAUUCCAUGUAACUUAAAAAAAUUAGAAUCAUAAUCUCAAGCAAUUUCCUAAUAAAUAAAUAAAUAAAUAAAUAACCUAACAAAAAAUAAGUAAAUAAAUGAAUAAAUAAAUAUCACAUGGGCAAUUAAAAUUUGAAAAUAAAAAUAAUGCAAUAGAAAAUAAUGAAAAACGAAUGCAAUCAAGAAUCGAAAUAGAGUCCAAUGCUCACCUAACCCUGGAAUCGGGCAAUCAAACUCACAUAAUUAAGUAUCAAAAGACCAUCUCAUGCAAUCCAAAGUAAAAAAACAAGCCAAUACUCAUCGAAAUCUAAAGAACCAAGCAAUCAAGAAAUCAAACCUAAACAAGUGUCCAAAUGGCCUAUUUUGAAAAAAGUGCCUAAGUGACCUAGGGUGAAUGUGUGCAAGUUGGAAGGUGCUUAGGAUGUUUAGGACAAUGUCUAAGUGAAAUAAACAUGCUUAAGUGUGCUAUCCUAAAAGUGCACCUAAAAGUUAUCUUAAAAAUGAAGGAAAAACCUAAGUUUAAAUUAGGGCUGCCAAAGGUCACAAUAAGGGGUCAGGCAAUCCCUCGAUCGAAGUCUCCGAGGUGACUCAGAAAAAGGUAAGUCGUACGAGUAGUAAUGGGCCACCAAGGAACUACCGUGGAGCACUGGAAGUAGAUUUAAAGACAUGUGCUAAAAGGGCAAAAUUGAGGGUUUACAGCCUGAUUAUUAAAUAUUUAUGCGUUAAUAAUUAUUUCGGUAGUUGUUUACUUUUAUUCAUCAUCCUCCAACAUUAUAUUGAUAUUUUGCCUGAGUUUUUUCUUUUUGUUUUUUUUUUUCCCCUUGGUUUAGACUAUAUGUUCUUGUUCGGAUUGAAAGAAAAAUCCACAUCUUGAUAAUUAUUAAGAUAUGUUUUAAUUAAGAUUUGUGUGAAAGCCUUUCUGUUCCUUUCCCGGCAGAAAAAUGCUGGCUGAAUACUCUACGAUGCGGCAUAGAAACUCUACGAUGAAGAUGAACGACACACCAGACUGGGACACUAUAGAUCAGGCGGACGUAGAUGACUCACGAGAUUUGGUGAAGCUAGUCUUGUCGAGGGUCAUAGAGAAACUCUGUGUUGUGUGGAUUCAAGAACCAGCAGUUUUCGUUGGAGUUGAAGAAGAGGUCCAAUGGAUCCAAAGACAGUUGAUGCAUGCUCGACUAAAAUAUAGUUAUGUCCCAGAACAAUUAAUGGACGUUGCCUAUGAUUUUGAAGAUGUGAUUGAUGACCUUAUACUCAGAUCAGCCGCAAAGCAAAGGAGAAUAGGAAACUGGGAGAGGUGCCUUUUGUUAAUAAGAAUUCACAAGAAGCUAGAAUUGAUCAAGUCUAAGAUCCCUGUUCUUCCUCAUCACCCACAUCGUUCCCAAGUACAAAGUGUCGGCCCCUCUAACUACAGUAUUGAAGAAAUAGUCAUUGAGGACUUCAUCAACAGAACAGAACUUCAUCAUGAAAAGAAGUUGGAUGGGACCUUCCAAGGGAUUUCUUUCGGCUUUUGGCAAAUUCAAAUUUCAGGAUAAGCUUGCUGUGGAGAUGGACAAAAUAUAUGUCAAGAUCCAAAACCUCUCUAUCCACCGGCCAACAGCAUUCAACCCACAAGGUCAAAGUAGGAACCCAAAGUAUACCUUGGGUUCCACCGAGCGAAUCCCACGGCAGCCAACAACGCAAGAACCUGAUCUCGCCAGCUUUGGUGAUGAUGUGCAUGCAAUGAUAGCACGGUUGCUCUAGAUGAUCUGAAUUUCAGAGUGAUUCCAAUUAUGGGUAUGCAAGGCAUUGGAAAGACAACCCUAGCAAAUUUGAUAUUUAACCAUAAAGCUGUCGUGGAUCAUUUCCCCUUUGCUGCUUGGAGGUCAGAUGGCUAUCGAUUUCAGCUAAAUAACAAGGGAGAAUUGUUGCAGUCCGGUCGAAGUCAAUGCAGUGUGUGGAGUAAUCAAUACGAGAUGCAACGGUUGAUACCUUUCUUGAUUAAUGACAGGUCUCUGAUAGUUGUCGAUAAUUGGAAUUUCUUGGUCGACGACCUAGAAAUGCUUCCAGAUGCAUUAAAUGGUAGUAGAAUUAUUUUGACGACUUGCGAAACAAAGCUACCUCCAAAUCUCAAAAUGAAGAGUGAUCCUCACCCACUGCGGUGACGGACAGAUGAGGAGAGUCGGGCAUUGUUUACCCAUGCUUUGAAAUUUAGCAUACCCCAAGAAUUGCUAAAGCUAAAAGACGAAAUUGCAAAAAGAUAUGAGGGGCUGCCACUGCUGAUUGUAAAAUUGGCAUAAGCACUCUCACACAAGGAUGCAACCCUUGAGGAGUGGUCCACUGCACUUCAACAAUUUCAUCAUGACCAAUAGCAACUUUGGCCCAAUACCCUCUACAAGAUCCAUAAGGAUUUGUCCUUGUACAUGAGGAGAUGUCUAUUUUAUUUCACUUUAUUUCCUCAAGAUUUUGAUAUUCCGGCAAGAAGAUUGAUAACAUUGUGGGUUGCAGAGGACUUGGUACAGCCAGAGGGCGAGAAUAAAACUCCAAAAGAUGUUGCAGAAAGGUGUUUGAAUUUGUUGAUAGGCCAGGGAAUGGUUCAAGUGACAAAGAAGAAGCUUAAUGGGAAUGUUAAAAUGGUGCGAUUGCCCGAUGCCCUAAGACAAUAUUGGUCAUCCAAAGCUCAACAAGCCACAUUUCUUGGAGUUCAUACUAAUACAAUAUCUGACUUGUCCCUAGGCACCAAUAAGAUCCGUCGUCUGGUUGAUCAUCUUGACAAAGAAGAUAUCAGCUUUGACCAUAUUCAUGGUAAUCACAACACAACUUCUAGUACUUCUUUGACACCUUAUUACGAAGAUGUACUUUCUUUUCUGUCUUUUGAUACUCGAGAAGAAGUGGGAAACUUUCUUCGUCAAAGCAUAUCCAGUGGUUGCUUAAUUCCUUGUACUGCUCGUGCUUGAUCUCGAAAAUGUAUUCAGACCAGUUACCUGAGGUAAUUGGAAAACUAACUCGACUAAGAUACCUUGGCUUAAGAUCUACAUUCCUCGAGAUACUUCCAUCAUCUAUAAGCAAGUUGCAGAACGUUCAAACACUGGACAUGAAGCAUACUUGCAUCAACACUCUUCCUAAUUCAAUCUGGAAGCUACAACAAUUGCGACACUUACACUUGAGUGAGAGUUGUCGAAGUAAACUUAUGCCUUGACAUGAUACAAAUUUUCCUACAAUCCUCCAAACAUUGUGUGGGCUUCUUGUAGAUGAGGAGACUCCCGUAAGAGAUGGCCUAGACAGGUUAUUCGAUAUUAGGAAAUUGGGAUUGACAAUAUCAUCUAAACAAGAGGCAAUAACAUUGCAACUGCAGGCAGUAGUUGACUGGGUUCUAAAACUGAACCAACUUCGGUCUUUAAGGCUCAAAUCUAUUGAUGAAAGCAAUCAGCCAUGGGAUCUAGAGUUGAAGCCUUUAGUAAGCCUUGUGAAUCUUUCUUACAUUUACUUGCUCGGACGGUUAAGGAAUCCAUCCAUUAUGUCCCAAUUCCCAUACAGCCUCAUCGACCUCACCUUAUCAGGGUCAGGACUUGUAGAAGAUCCAAUGCAGUCACUGGAUAAGCUUCCCAACCUUAGAAGUCUUAAAUUGCUUGCCAAAUCUUAUUUAGGGAAGAACAUGAUUUGCUCUUUAGGAGGCUUUCCUUAGCUUCGAGCUCUUAAACUAUGGAAGUUAGAGCAACUGGAGGAAUGGAAUGUAGAGAAAGGAGCACUACAAGCUCUCCGAGAUUUGGAGAUUAGGUUCUGCAGAAGUCUGAAAAUUCUACCUGCAGAAUUGUUGCAUAGAACUCUCUUGAAAAUUGAAGUUAUACCUGCCCAGUAAGUUCACUACUUCAUCUCUUGAAAUUUGGUUUAUAACCUACUUUAACAUGAGAUGAUUGCAUUGUGUAACAAACAACCUGAUAUGCCAUUGUGUUUUCUUUCUUUCUUUCUUUCUUUUUUUGUUUGAUUAGGGUGUGAGAAGCUAAGCAAGAAGGUUCUGGUCUACUUCUUCGUGUUGGGCUUUGCUUUCCAUUUCAAUGUUUUUGCUGUUGGAGCAGAUAUUCAAAUCCUCAUGAGGGCAGUUCUCAGUUGCAACAAUGUAUAGAGCUCAUUUUCUUGAAUUGGGUUUCCAUCCCUUCUGCUCAUUAUUCUGUUCUACUAUGUUCUCGUCUUUCAAACCUUAAAUGCAUACUGUAUUGUACUUGUUAGGAGAUUCUAUAACUAGUGUUUGUGAACUAUAGAAUCAGGGCAUCAUGAACACAAUGGUGUUGUGGGUGUGAUUGUAUUUGGAUUGAAUAAAGUAAUUUUUUCUUUUAGUUGAUGAUGUUUGUCAGAUAGAAUUUAACCGGCCAGUCUGCUCUAAUGCACAUAGGGAGAAAACAGCUGUUCUCUUCCUGCCCAGAUGGAUGAAGGAGAGUAAGAUUAAUCCUCCACCUUUCUGUAGCUUAUUUUGUAAGUGUAUUAGGUUCAAAGUCUUCAAUUACGUCAUAUUAAUAUAUCAAAGUAAUACUUCCUUUUGCUCACAAGCUCAGAUUAGAGCACACCAUGGCUUGCAUGGCCGCUUACAUGCUCUGCCCAUUCCAAUAGUUAGUCCAUUUAGUCCAAAUACAAUAUCAAAGCUUACGCCCUUUCCUUUUUAGUAAUUUAGAAGAGCCUAGCACAACGGAUUUGGACAUUGGAUCGUACAAUAUAAUUAUGGAGCAAUAAUUACAACACCCAUUUCAAAUGUGAUUCAUCCACCUCCAAACCAAAGCUGCUGGUUAUUGAAGGAGAAGAACAGAGAGUUUCUAUAACAACCUCCAUCCAAUGCUUCCUGACAUGAGACAUCUAUCUCUGUCCUGCUUCCUUAACUUCAAUCUGUUCCAGUCCAUCUGCUUCUUCUUCUUUUUGUAUGGUCAGUAUGGGGGUUCUGGAAAUGAACAUCAGAGCUUUCACCCAAGUGAGACAUUUGGUUUUGGAAUCGUACAUUUAGCUUGUGGUUUGGGUGUUUGAAACAGGGCAAUUAAAAUACAGUUUCCAGAAUGCCAGAAAAAUUCAAGGCCUAAAUUCAUGGACAAGUAUAGGCCAGAAACUAUUGAGCUUUAAGAUUUCACAGGGGAAUAGUAAUAUAACUGGCCACUGCAAUACGUCAUUCUGAUAUAGCUGCAGGAAGCAGCCUUUCCUGCACUACAGCCAUUUUGCAUGAGGCUUACUACUUUUUCAGCACUUUCAAGCACUUAAUUGGAGCUCUCCUUCAUUCUUUUUCCAAAAUAUGUCUUGGGAGUUUUUCCCAGAGAGGAAGUACAUAACAGCUAGAAACCAAGUUGCACAAUGUUGGAAAUGAAAAAGAUAGAAGCAAGUCAGGGAUUUUUUAUGCCUGCAGGAUGGCUAAAGCUUUGUAAACGCUAGAAACAGAGGAUCAUUGGGACUGUGCACAGAAAUGGGAGAUGACAAGCCGUGUUUGUGGAGAUGCUAUUUUAUUCUGUAAGGUAUGGUUGAUAAGAUCAACAUGCCAAGUAGCCCAGAUAAGGUGAAGAGCUGCUCACUUAUGUCUGGCUUCUGAUGGCUAAUUUCGAUAGAAAUGAACAUCCAAUCUUUUCAUUGUAUCUUCUUUUCUUCUUUGGUUAGAUUCGACUCCUAUUUCCUCCAUUUAUGACUAACAUUUGAUCAUUAGUGAUAUAGGUUGGCAGUUUUUUCUUCAUUAAUUCAAGGAUUUAUGCUACGGCAUUAGGAGUUGUGUUUGAUGUUAUGAUCAGAUUUUUGCAUUUAGCACAUGAACUAAUUGAGAUCAAGAUUAUAAUUUCAAAUAAUGUGGUAAUGGAGGCACCACUUCUGCUACUACACUUGGUGGCCCAAGCAUCAUUUGAGCCUAUUCAUCCAAACAAAAUUAUCAUUUCAAGAUGUCAUGCAACAUAUUCUAUUUGUUCAACAUUUUUAACUGCAACAACAGCCAACCCCUAAUUCGAGAAUAAAUGUUGGGAGGAGGCUUUCAGAGUGAUUGAGUUUGAGUUUGCCGUUUGUCAAGAAACUUAUCUCAAACUCAUUCCCAAAGUAGACUGCAACAUAAAAUUUGAAAAGAAUAUAACAAAUAUAACAAAAGAAUAUAGCUUAUCUCAAAAAAUAAAAAAAUGAAUUGUACGACAUAACUUGCCACCAUUUACUUAGCAUUGAAGGUUACUUUAAAUUUCAAAAGAAUCACUUGAACCAUGAGAUUAACAAAUAUAACAAAUCAGUUGAACAUGAAGCUGAUAAAGCAUGUUCUCUAGGACAAUGGAGAAUGCCCAAAAUCAAUAACACCAUCACAUGGGGCAUUGAACGACCUUGGACAGUAGAUUAGUUUCUGCUUGCUGAUAUUAAUGCAUCAUCCAUGUUGAAAGUGUUGUAGAAGGUUAUCGAAGUAUGUCAGUGGUAGAACACAAGAACACUAGAGAAACCUGCUGCUGAAGUUUAAAAACAAGUUAUUGCAAUCAAAUGCUGCAACCAGAAAGAAUCAUUUAGCAUAUGUUCCUAGUUGAAGGUUACAUGAAAUUUGAAAUGAAUCAUUUGAACCAUAACAUUAACAAAUAUAACCACAAUAUUUUUUAAUAUGGAGGUGACAAACUAUCCAUUCUGGGACAUUAGAGGAUGCCAAAAAUUAAUAACAAGCCGUGAAAGGCUGUGAGACAUUGGAGUAAUUUGCACUCAUCAACAUUACUGUAUCAUCCAUUUUAAGAAUAAUUUAGUUGAAAGUUAUCAAAUAUUCAAGCAAUCACACAAAAUAAGUUUUGGCUAGAGAAAGUCUCAUACAAUACUAAAAUUUAAAAAUAAGUUAUUGCAACCAAAUGUUACAACAAGAAAACACUAUUCAGCAUUUGUCUCCUCUGUCAUCACAAAUCUCUUAUUUCUAUAUUUUCUUCAAGAGAUACAAAAUUUGAUCUUAAAAUUUAAUGGAUAAAUUUUAUACAUAUAUUGCAACAAGGUGUUUUGAAUCUUAUACAGAGAAUUUCUCACUGUCCAAGAAACUCACUACCAUUGUAGAGACAUUUAAUUUGUUUGUUUAUGUUGACUCUUUGUGUCACAAGUCUUUCCGAAAGAGCCUACCAGUAUUCCUCUUAGAAAAAGGGUGGAGCAGUCCAUUGUCUCCCAUAGAGAAAAACAAAAACAAAAAGGAACUGAUGGUAUUGGGUGGUCAAUAUAUGGAGGCCACUGUAAGUUGGUUUUCAGAGGAAAGUAUUUACUUUAUAUACACACAGGGAGGAAAGGAGACAAGAGUCAAGGGGGAAUGUUCUUAGAAAGAAAAGUUGAAGGUGGUAAGCAUGAACUGGGUAGGAAAUUAAGAAUUUUAAAUGAAGAGGCCAGAGAAAAUGAUCAGGGAAAGACUUGGCUUUACUUGUUAGUACCCAGAUUUCCUUGCCAUUGUGAGUUUGUUUCCAAGGCCGCCUCCACCUCAGUCUUUUGUUGUUCGCCACCAGCUUCAUCUUGGCAGUAUGAAAUGGCUAUUGAGUUUCGUCGGGGGCAUGGUCACCUACAGCUUCUAGUAAGAAAAGAAAAUUUGAAAACAGAAGAAAGAAAGAAUAAGUCUACUUUUGUAUACGUGAACACGUCUAGAGAUGUAACUCCAUUUUUUUUAUUUCCAGGAUGCAACAUACAGAGGACCACGUCCUCUAUUUAAACACAAAAAACCAGGAUAACAAAAUUACAUUUUUUCCAAAAACAUAUUACAUAGAAUCCGUAUAACUGGUAGCAAAAAAUCCAAGACUAUCUGAGAGUAAUUUUAUUUAUUAAUUUUGUCUUUGAGAUAUGCUGCAUCAACAUUCCAAGAUAUGAUCCGAGAUAUGCUUUGCGGGAAUACUCAAGAUAUGUUCUGUUUUGAAUCUGGGAUUUGCUACAUCAAUUUGUUGAGAUUUCCUUAACUAGUCGAACUACCAUUUCGGGUUGAAGUUGUUGCCAUUGAUACUCUUUCAUCUUUCAAUGUCUCUCCACUAUUGUAGCAUGAAGCUCCUCAAGAAGACCGCGUAGCCAUACAAUUUCAGAACAAGCAGUAGACAUGGCAUGAUACUCGGCUUCAGUAGAGGAUUUAGAAACACGAUCUUGUUUCUUACAUCUCCAAGAAAUUAAGGCAUCACCUAAAAACAUACACCAACCCAUAGUAGAUCGACGUGUAUCUGGACACCCAGCCCAAUCAGCAUCACUAUAGGCAACAAGUUGAAGAGAUGAGCCAGUAGGAAAGAACAACCCACGAGUAGGUGAACCUCAAAGACAGCGGAUGAUGCGUGGAACUACAACAAGAUGGAGAUGCUGAAGAUAAGUCAUAAACUGACUGACCUAAUGACCAGCAUAGGAGAUAUCAGGUCGAGUAGUGAUCAAGUAGAUAAGACUCCCAACUAGGCGCCGAUAGAGAGUAGGAUCAUUCAGAAGGUCCCCUUCAUUUUUCAUUUAUUUGACAUUUACCUCCAUAGGAGUAUCAACAGAGGAAGUGUCCUCCAAACCAGCCAAAGUGAUAGGAUCUUGAAUAUACUUAUGCUAGUUCACGAAAAUACCACUAGCUCGAUGAUGAACUUCCAAUCCUAAGAAGUAUGUGAGCUGUCCAAGAUCUUUCAUAUGGAAAGUUGUAUGUAACAGCUGCUGAAGCUUAGUAAUCAAACCACAGUCAAUGCCAGUAAUGAUAAUAUCAUCCACAUAAACUAAGAGAAGGACUAUACCCGAUGCAGACGUGUGGAAGAAGAGUGAAGAAUCAUACUGACUUUGGGUAAAACUGAAAGAAAGAAUUGUACUACGAAACUUCUCAAACCAAGCCCGGGGCGCCUGCUUGAGCCCAUACAAAGAAUGUUUUAGCUUACAAACAUCAUGAGGAGAAUAAUUAGUCAUACCAGAGGGAAGCUUCAUGUAAAUCUCUUCCUGGAGAUCACCAUGAAGAAAAGCAUUCUUCACAUCCAUCUGAUGUAGUUGCCAUGACUGUGAAGCAGCAAUAGCUAAGAUGGUUUGAACCGUGGUCUUUUUGGCAAUAGGAGUAAAUGUCUCCUCAUAAUCAACCCCAUAUUCCUGCUUGUUACCCAAAGCUACGAUGCAAGUUUUGUACCGGUCCAAAGAGUCAUCAGAACGAAGUUUUACAAAGAAAACCCAUUUACUCCCAAUAGGUAUGACUAUAGGAGGACAAGGAAUAAUAUCCCAAGUAUGAUUCUCCUCAAGUGCUUGAAGUUCUGCUUGCAUUGCAUUUUGCCAACACUCAUGUUCCAUGGCCUGUUUGUAGCAAGAGGGAAUAGAAAUAGUGGACAAAGUAGCAACAAGAGAUACAGGAGAGAAUAAUCCAUACCAAUCAGGGGGUCGAGAAAGACAAGUAGACUGAGGAAGAGUGGUGGAAGCAAGAGCAAGAUCAGGCGUUGGGUCAAGAUCAGAAGAGGACACAGAGAAAGUGGAAUUAGACUCAUGUCGACUACGUCUUUCAUACACAAAACCACAUUUGAACCUUUCCACAAUUGUUGGGAAUUCAGAAAAACUAGGCAGAAGAGAUACAAAUGCAGAUGGUAGCUCAACAUGAGAUGGAAAGAAAUAUUGAUUUUCAAAGAAAAUUACAUUCCGGGAAACUAGUAUACAACAAGCAUGGGGAUCAUAACAAACAUAACCCUUGUGAGGGAUAGCAUAACCAAGAAAAGCACACUUAACAGACUGAGCAGUAAGUUUAUGUCGUUUAUGAGUAGGUAGAUGCACAAAACAAACACAACCAAAUGUACGAAGAUCAGAAUAUAAAGGAGAAUGACCAAACAACUUAGAGAAAGGAGAAACAUGAUUUAACAUAGGAGAGGGCAAGCGAUUGAUCAAAUGAACUACAAUAGAAAGUGCUUCACACCAAAAAUGAGGAGGAAUAGAUGAGUCAAGUAAAAGAGAGUUCUUACCACAUUAAAAAGGUGGAAAAUUUUCCUCUUAGCAACACCAUUUUGUUGUGGUGUCGAAGGACAAGAAUGUUGAGAGAUGAUCAUUUUGCUUUGAAGAAAGUCCUGAAACUCAUUAGACAUGUAUUCUUCGCCAGAAUUAGAGCGCAAGACCUUGAUGCUGACAGAGAAUUGGGUCUCAAUAAGUGCAAGAAAGCGCUUAAAGACUGAAAAAACUUCAACCUUAGCCCGGAGAAAGUAAACCUAAGUAAAGCGACUAAAGUCAUCAAUGAAAGUAACAAAGUACUUGUAAUGUGCAUGAGAAACAAUAGGUGCAAUCCCCCAAACAUCACUAUAUAUAAUAUCAAAACAUUGUGAGGCACGAGAUGAAGAAUGAGGAAAAGGUAGAACUUUACUUUUGCCAAGUUUGAAUGAUGUGCAAUCGAAAGAAAGAUCAAGAGAAGAACAUGUUUUAUUUCCCAAUAAUCCAGAAUUAAACAAAGUACGAAGUACAUCAGAGUUUGGGUGGCCAAGAUGUCUAAGCCACAUCGUAUGUCCAGAACCAACAAAAUUACAUGCAAAGGAAAGUAAAGGAAAACUAGGAAUAAUAGUGGAAGGAAAAACAUGAAGAGGAAAGAGUCGUCCCACUUUAGGCCCCUUCGCGAUCAUCUUCCCGAACACUUGAUCCUACACAACACAACCAAAACGGGAGAAAUUAACAUUACAAUUAUUAUCAACAAAUUGACCAACAGAAAGAAGAUUUGUGAAGAGGUCAGAAGACAUAAAAACAUCAGUUAAGGGAGAAGAAAGAUCACCAACAACACUGAUAGGCAGAGAAUUGCCAUCAGUAGUGUUAAUUUUCAGAUUUCCAUCAUAAUUUCUAAGAUUGAAAAGAGAAAGAACGGUAUUCAUCAUAUGGUUAGAAGCUUCAUAGUCAAAAUACCAUGGCUUAGAAGAAAUCAUAUGAUUACCUAAGAGCCCAAAAGCAGAAAAAGCAUAAAUGAUCAUUAGUUGUACCAUUUCAGGAGUUAGUGUGUUCGGGUUUACUAAGGGUGUAGGAGCAAGAAUAGGAACAACCAAAGAGGCAAUAGGCAAUGCAGUAGAACUAGAGGCACUAGUGGAGGCAUGAUAAGCAAUACCCUGCUUCCUUUCAGGCCGAAUGGGACAAACAGAGAUGAUAUGACCUUGUUUCUUGCAGUAGUUACAGAACUUCUUAGGACAAUCCCGAGCAAUGUGACCAAAAUCUUUACAACUAAAGCACUGAACAACAUGCAUAUCUCGACCCUUAUUCCGCCUCUGUACUGCAUAAGCUACAGAAACAGGUGCACUAACAUUAACCUGAUGUUCCAUGGUAGCAUAAGUUACGAUACGCUGCUCCUCACACAAAAAUUCACUCAAGCAGGCAUCCAAAGAUGGUACAGGAUGACGAUUCAUCAUAUUAGACCGUGUAAUUUCAAAGUCGGGUCAUAGCUUCAUCAAGAACUGAUCUCGCUUGCUGGUUGCAUGCACUGCUUGGACAAUAGAGAGAGCUGCAACGGGAACAUUAGCAUAAACAAUGUCGGAAUAAUCAGUCCAAAGAGUUUGAAAACCAGAAAAAUAUUCCUCAAUUGAGAGACUUCCUUGUGUGAAAUUAGCCAUCUCAUACUCCAAUUGAAAAUGCCAGAAUUGUCUUGAUUGUAAACCGUGUGGAGAUAAUUCCACAUAGCAACAACAGUUUUAUAAGGCCUCAGAUUGAGAACAAGGUGAUAUUCAACCGAGCUAAGGAUCCAAGUCAUAACUCAAGCAUCCUUAAUUUCCCACUUAGACAAAGCCUCGACAUCACGAGGUGCAGGAUUACUCCCAUCAAUAUGACCCCAUAAUUCUUUUUCUUUGACAAAUAAUUUAAAUUGAAACUCCCAAGCACAAUAAUUUUUGCCAGUAAAUCUAAUAGGAAAUGAUUCCAACUUAUCUGAUGACAUGAUGCAUCUGAGAAACAAAGGAAAUAGCCCACUAGAAAAUUGGAACAAAAACGGUCAAGAACCAGGUCGCGAUGAACCCGAUCAACACUGUUUUCGAUGCCAAGCGUUUGAUUGGUAGAAGAUCACGAACUCCACUCAGAAGGUGUUGAAACCUUGCUCUAAUACCAUGUCAAAAAACUAAAAAAAAAAACUCCACAAAAAUCGAGAACUCUGAGAACUCUAAUUAGUUUUUUAUUCUCUGCAUCCAUCUAUAUAUAGAUAUAUAUCCUAUACAUGGAGUCUAAAUUCCUAAAUUGUAUAUGGUAACAUUAACAAAUACAUGGUAAGCCAAUCUGUCGAUAUUUUCCUAUGUGUACAACCGAUUUGAUUCCUAAUUUGUAUAUGCUAACAUUAACACCAAGUAGCUCAGAUAAGGUGAAGAGUUGCUCACUUAUGUUUGCCUUCGCUGAUUUUGAUAGAAAUGAACGUCCAAUCUUCUCAUCUUAUCUUCUUUUAAUCUUUUAUUAGAUUUGACGCCCAUUUCCACCAUUUAUGUCUUACAGGUUUUUCUUCAUUAAUUCAAGGAUUUAUGCUAUAGCAUUUGGAGUUGUGUUUGAUGUUUUACUUGGAUAUUCACAUAAGCACAUGAACUAAUUGACAAAAAUUAUCUAUGUUUUUCUAAACAUAUACAUUCACAUCGAAAAUGCUACCUACACAUCAUUUGAGUCUAUUCAUCCAAACAAAAUGAUCAUUUCAAGAUGUCCUGCAGCCUAUUCCAUUUGUUCAACACUUUCAACCGCAAUAACAACCAAUCGAAUAAAUCUUUCGGAGGAGGCUUUUAGAUUGAUUAAGGUUGAGCUUGCGUUGGUUUACAUUUUUGUGAACUCAUACACCUAUUUGUAAAGAAACCUCACUCCAAUGCCUAUUUGGAGUAUUACUCAUUUGGAGUGUUGGGAAGAAAAAUGAAUUGUGUGAUAUGCCUGCCACCACUUAAUAUUGAAGGUCACUUUAAAUUUGGAAAAAUCAUUGAACUAUAAGAUUAACAAAUAUAACAGCAAUACUUCUGAACAUGGUGAAGCUGAUAAAGCAUGCAUUCUGGGAUAUUGGAGGAUGCCAAAAAUUAAUAGCACCGUGGAUUAGUUUGCAAUUGCCAAUAUUAGUGCAUUAUCCAUGUUGGAAGUGUUGAAGAAGGUUGUCAAAGUAUAAAGUCAUGUUAUCAAUACCCUCCUUGUACAUCCUCAUCAAAACCAAGACAGAAUCAUGGUCUGGAAUUAGCUUUUGGGAAACCUGAUAAUGAAAAUAUUUAGUUAUCUAUUUAAGCUAUUUUUAGGUUUGAUGGUAACCUCUGUGAGAUUUCCAAGAUCUUAGUGUUUAUUUAGUCCAUCACCAAGUGAAGUUUAUGCUCAAAUUUCAAAUUGUCAAAACCAAAAUAACUUUUUAAAAUGUCUCCUCCAAUUACUUCCAUUCAAAUUGCUCACUUAAUGAUGAAAUAACCACAUAUCUAUGUUUUUCUAAACAUAUACAUUCACAUCGAAAAUGUUACCUACACAUCAUUUGAGUCUAUUCAUCCAAACAAAAUGAUCAUUUCAAGAUGUCCUGCAGCCUAUUCCAUUUGUUCAACACUUUCAACCGCAAUAACAACCAAUCGAAUAAAUCUUUCGGAGGAGGCUUUUAGAUUGAUUAAGGUUGAGCUUGCGUUGGUUUACAUUUUUGUGAACUCAUACACCUAUUUGUAAAGAAACCUCACUCCAAUGCCUAUUUGGAGUAUUACUCAUUUGGAGUGUUUGGAAGAAAAAUGAAUUGUGUGAUAUGCCUACCACCACUUAAUAUUGAAGGUCACUUUAAAUUUGGAAAAAUCAUUGAACUAUAAGAUUAACAAAUAUAACAACAAUACUUCUGAACAUGGUGAAGCUGAUAAAGCAUGCAUUCUGGGAUAUUGGAGGAUGCUAAAAAUUAAUAGCACCGUGGAUUAGUUUGCAAUUGCCAAUAUUAGUGCAUUAUCCAUGUUGGAAGUGUUGAAAAAGGUUGUCAAAGUAUAAAGUCAUGUUAUCAAUACCCUCCUUGUACAUCCUCAUCAAAACCAAGACAGAAUCAUGGUCUUGAAUUAGCUUUUGGGAAACCUGAUAAUGAAAAUAUUUAGUUAUCUAUUUAAGCUAUUUCUAGGUUUGAUGGUAACCUCUGUGAGAUUUCCAAGAUCUUAGUGUUUAUUUAGUCCAUCACCAAGUGAAGUUUAUGCUCAAAUUUCAAAUUGUCAAAACCAAAAUAACUUUUUAAAAUGUCUCAUCCAAUUACUUCCAUUCAAAUUGCUCACUUAAUGAUGAAAUAACCACAUAACAUCCAAAGUUGAUACUAAAACACUAAGUUCUUCCAUUCAAAUCAAUCAUUUAUCAUCUAAUUCUUCUCUUCUGACUCCUUAAUUGAAAAUGUUUAUGAACCUGAAUUUGUCUCAGACCUUCUUCAUUUUAGGAUAAAUUGAAUCAUGGACUAGCAUUGUAUUGCCCUUGUUCUAAUAUUGUAUCCAGCUCCAGUAUGACCGAUCUAUGUCUUCAAUGUCCACAAUACAAGUGGCAACUUUUAAAAUGCAAAAAGGAAGAGCAAGGAUCUUAACCUUAUUUUUGCUUUAUUGAAUUCAAUUUGAUCCAAAAAAUUAUGAAUGAACAAAGCGGAUCUCCCAAAAUUCUUCUGUCUCAUGUGCUACUGAUUUGAGUAUAUAUAUGGUAAUUGUCAGCCCCUUAGAGCCUUGACUUAACCAUGGAGGAAUAGGCCUCAUGGGUAGGCCUUGCACCCAUGAGAGUUUAGGAUGAAAGCAGGGAAAUCCUAGAGGUUUGGUGGUUCAAACUCCAGGAGCCAUGUGAGGAGGUCGCGAGCGAGCCAGACGCGCACCACGGGCGAGCCAGACGCGCAUCGUGCACGCACUGUGGGCGAGCUAGACAUGCACUGCGUGCGCACCAGAUGGGGAUCGCACCGCACCUGACUUAGGUGGUGCAAAUGAAGGCUGAGGGACUUGGAAUUUUAAUUUAUAAUUAAAAUUAUUAUUCCAUUAUGCAUCCUCAGACAUAUUGAUGUCUCCUCAAGAAACAAUGAAAACGGCCCGUCUUGCUCUUUAAGGGGGGGGGGGGGGGGGGGGGGGGGGGGGUAGUUAAUCCAAAGGGGGAGCCCCCCAAAAAAACCCUUAACCCCCCCGGGGGGGCCCUGGGNNNNNNNNNNNNNNNNNNNNNNNNNNNNNNNNNNNNNNNNNNNNNNNNNNNNNNNNNNNNNNNNNNNNNNNNNNNNNNNNNNNNNNNNNNNNNNNNNNNNGGGGGGGGGGGGGGGGGGGUAGGUGACUCAAAGGAGGGAGCCACCAAGAGAAGCCUUGACCGCACCAAGGGGGCACCAUGGCACGGCCUUGGGCGAGCCUAAGACACACGACACGACUCGAGCACGCACACAUGGGCUCCACGACAUGUGUGGUGUGCACCCCGUGGCCGCAACGGCAUGGGGCAUGGUGAGGCCUACCCCCUCCCCGUGCAGGCACGAGGGCGCCUAAGCCUUGUGCGGUGAGCAUGCUGAUAAAACCAUGGGCGCAAUGCCACGGUCUGAUGGCUCCAAUAGGUGACUCGCACCAAGUUGCCUACGCACAGCACAGGGGCGCUAUGCCCUGUGUACCAAGAAGGAUUGGCCAUGGGCGUAAUGCCAUGGCUCGUUGCUGGGAAGCUGGGAAGCAAGCAACAAGCCCAAGCCAUGGGCACCUAGACGGGCUCACACAUCAGUGUGGGGAAGGCGCACUGAUGCACCAGAUGCUUGGUCAGAUGGUUGAGGCACGCUGCCUGACUCAGAGGGUCUUGAUCAAAGACAUGCUGAUGGGCAACCGGUCACAAGAGACACCUUACGGGGGAGGGGUCGGCUUGUUAGGGGAACUCACUAGCAGCUUGGUGAGCAAUACCUGAGGAGAUGGCAGUGUAACUAGCUAGUGGCAGCUAGCUCAGUGACCAAGUCAAGCCGUCAUUUGACCUGCAAUUGGCUAAGGGAUGAUGACUGGUGCAAGUGGGUGGCAGGAGCAGACCACUAUCUAGAUGAUGGGUGGUUAUGCAGGGCAGUUGAGGGUGGUUCAAGCCAGUUGCAUAAACCACCUAGUUGGCUCCAAGAUUUGAAUUAGGAAAUUCAAAUUUGUAACUGCAGCUUGAGUCUUUUAAAAGGGCUCCUGCAGCCUUGAAACAGAGAGAGAGAGUUUGGGGAAAGGGUUCCUUCUCGUAUGCCUUGGGUAAGAGCAUUGUACUCUGGUUCAGGAAGCAAUUUUGUCUUGUAAGAGUGAUUAAUACAAGUUGGGAAAGGAUUCCCGUAACCUUGUGUGUCCCUGUUGCUUUGUUAUUUUUGUGUUCUACUCUGUUCUUCUAAACACUGGGAAGGAAAGGUUGGCUAAGGAAGGGUCCUUAGCACCGCACACUUGUGAAAAAUUAAGUGUGAUAAUCAGGGGUGUGACAGUAAUCAUCAUAGGUCAGGUCCAUUAAUUUCAGUAUAAAUUCAUAAAGCCUAUGAACCCCAAUACGCAAUUUGCUUUCGAUCCAUUGAAGAGUCCAUGAAACUCUACAAGAGGCGUCACUACAAAACCAUUACUUUUCCUAUUUUAAUUUUACAAAUAAAAAGAUUUGGAUAAGUUGAUUUUACAAAUACUUUUCUAUUUUAAUUUUGUAAAAAUAUUUGUACAUUUAAUUUAUAUAUUAUUAAUUAAAUUUAAUUCAAAAUUAUAAAAUACAUUUAAAAAUAAACAUUUUUAGUAAAGUAUAAAUACAAAUUUUUAAUAAAAUCACAUAUUAUAUUUUUCAUAUAAAUGAUAUUAGUUUAGCAUAUAUUAUAAAAAUAUGGAUAAAUUGAAUUUUUUUUCAAAAUAAAUAAUUAUAAUAAUUUAAAAUUAAUAAUGAUUAAUAAUAUUUUAUUUAAAAUAAAUUUUAAAACAAAAAAUUAAUUAAUUUUUUCAUAUAUAAAUAAACCAAAUUUUUUUUAGUUACAUAUACACAUUUAACACUUAAUUAUGAAGAGAGUAUUUAGAACUAUUUUUUAUUUAAUAUGCAAUUAUUCAUAUCAAUUUUUAAUUAAAUUAUUUUUAAGAAUUAAAAGAUUCAUUAAAUAAUUUAAAGUAUUGAAUCUCAUUUGAUUUAGAAUCUAUUUAUUUAGUGGAAAUUUUUUUUAAAUAUAAUUAUUUAUAUACCAUAACUAAUAAAGUCAUAACUCAUUAUGUAUUAGUUUUAAUCUAUUGUCUUUGACACUGAUUGGAUUUGAGUUCCAAUUUAUUUUUCAAAAUUAUUCAACUCAUUAAUAAUUCAAUACAUUAAAUCUCACUUAAUUUAAAAUAUAUUUUUCUAAUAAAAAAUUCAUAAAAAAUAUAGUUAUGUACAAGAAAAAUAAUAGUCCUUUUAGACCAAUUUUAAUGAACGAAUUUUCAAUUACUAACUUCUAAAUAAUUUCAAAAUUAAGUAAUACAAGUGAUUGGAGUUUAUUUGUAUAAUGAGAAAAUUUAGAAAAAUAUUGUUUUAUUUAGAAAAAAAAUCAAUAGAGUUAUUUUAAACUACUGACUUCUAAAUAAUUUCAAAUUUAAGUAAUACAAGUGAUUGGAUUUUAUUUUUCUAAUAAGAAAAUUUAGAAAAAUAUUGUUUUAUAUAGAAAAAAAAAUCAAUAGAGUUAUUUUAAACUACUGACUUCUAAAUAAUUUCAAAUUUAAGUAAUACAAGUGAUUGGAGUUUAUUUGUAUAAUGAGAAAAUUUAGAAAAAUAUUGUUUUAUAUAGAAAAAAAAUCAAUAGAGUUAUUUUAAACUAAUUUUUAUUUAUAAAUUUCUUGUAUUACAUAGUUUACUAUUUGAGUUUCAAAUUAUUUUUAAAACCUAUUAAACUCGUUAAUGAAUCAAACACAUUAAAAGUUUUUUAUUUGGAGUUUUUUUGCCUUAGUAAAAAAGGAAAUUUACAAAGAUAUAGUUAUACAUAAAAAAUAAAAAAAAUUAAAAAUAAAAACUUACAAAAUCAUUCAAAAUAAAUUUUGAUAUGUAAAUUUCUAAUAUUAACUAGGCUCACCUUUAACAUCAACGGCUUUCUAGUACUAACUGAAUUAAUUUUUUAGUUUAAUAAAUGUUAUGUUUCAAAUAUCACUAGAUUAGAAAUUUAUUUUCUUAAUCAAAAUAAUUUAAAUAUCGAAGUUAAAAGAAGUUCACAAACUACGUAUAUUUAAGAAAAUAAAUCAUCUUUGAAAUUUUUUUAUAUUGGUUGAUGGAGAGAGAAUAAAUAUAAAAUAAAAUUGUGUCAUAAUUUAUUUGUUUUUGUGAUUUCUUUUCAUGCUAUUAUUUAUUUCUCAUAUUUUCCUUAAAGAAAAGGUAAAAAAAACUUUUACUUAAUCUCUCAAAUUGUUCUCCAUUUCACUUUAUUUUAAAAAAUUGUUUUUAGAAAACAACUUCCAAACCACUCAUAAAUUUUUAACAACAAAAAAUUAUUUUUAAAUCAUAUCAUCACCCGAGCUAUUGUACGGUUCCCUUUUUUUUUCUUGUACUUCACCUUCUUAAUUUUAUUACGGUUAUAUUUAAAUGGAAUCAAAAUAUGCAAUAAAUAAAAUAUAAGAGCGUUAAAUAAAUUAAAAUGAUCAAAGGAUGAAAAUAAAAAUAAGAAAAAGGAAAACCAAAAACAAAAAUAAAAUAAUAAUGGUAAUAAUAAACAAAAAAAAAAUGUAAAUGCAUGGAAACAAAAUUAGAAGUCUAAAUUCUCCUCAAGCCAACCCAUGAAAAAACACGCAGUGCAAGGAUCAAGGAUCUAUUUCUUCGUCAAUGUUAACUAAUUGUUAAUAAAUGAAAAUUGGUAACCAUCAAACCGCGGCAGGACUCGAUCAAAUUAAUUUAUACCUUUAUAUACAUCAUUAAUCCACCUAACAAAUUAGCAAAUUUAAAUUAAUUUACUUAAUAAAAAAACAAUUUUAAAUAAACUGAUAUUUUUAGUAUGAGAUUCACAUAUAGAAAAAUAUUUCAACUUCAAUUGGAAUAUUUUAAAAAAAUAAAAAAUAAAUAAAUAAAUAAAAACUGCAUGUACAUAACUCUUGAGUAUCUAAUGUUUACCUCUUCAAAAAGGUGUUUUGAGUUUUAUACAGAGGAUUACAUAUACCGCACUGGCUUCUUUAAUACUUAGUAGAAUUUCUCAUUUUGUCCAAGAAACUCACAACCCAUUUCCCACCUUAUCUUUCUCAUGUGGAAACAUAACCUUUCCUCUUAAGUUGACUCCCUUGUUUUACAAGUGUUUCAAGAAGAGCUAGCCUACCAGUGUUCCUCUUAGAAAAAUGGUGGAAGCAGUCCAUUGUCUCUCAUAGACAAAAAGAAAAUGAUGGUAUUGGGUGGUCAAUAUGUGGUGGUCACUGUAAGUUGGCUUUCAGAGGAAAAUAUAUAUAUAUAUAAAGAGAGAGGAAAGGAGAAAAGACGUCAAGGGGGAAUGUUCUUAGAAAGAGAAGAUAAAGGUGGUGAGUAUGAAUUGGGUUGGAAAUUAAAAAGGAAAAUGAGUAUUUAAAGUGAAAAGGAAGGACAAAAUGAUCAGGGAAAGACUUAAUUUUACUUGUUAGUUCCCAGAUUUCCUUGCAAUUGUGAGUUUAUUACUAAGGCCGCCUCCACUCAGUCCUUUGCUGUUCUCGGCCGGCUUCAUCUUGGAAGUAUGAAAUGGCUAUUGAGUUUCGUCGGGGGCAUGGUCGCCUACAGCUUCCUGUAAGAACAAUGAAAAUUUGAUCAAGUCUGCAAUAUCAUCUCCCCUUUUGUGAUCCUCCUCAGAUGACUGAUUAUUAAAUAUUUAUGCGUUAAUAAUUAUUUCAGUAGUUGUUUACUUUUAUUAAUCAUCCUCCAGCAUUAUAUUGAUAUUUUGUCUGAGUUUUUUCUUUUUUUCUUUUUUUUUUUCCCUUGGUUUAGUUUAUAUGUUCUUGCUCGGAUUGAAAAGAAAAAUCCACACGUCUUGAUAAUUAUUAAGAUAUGUUUUAAUUAAGAUUUGUGUGAAAGCCUUUCUGUUGCUUUCCCCGCAGAAAAAUGCUGGCUGAAUACUCUACAAGGAAGCAAAGGGAGGAGGCGUGGAGGAUGAUGGCAGAGGGUAGAAAUGAAGAAGCUAAGGAGAUGCGGCAUAGAAACUCUACGAUGAAGAUGAACGACACACCAGACUGGGACACUAUAGAUCGGUCGGAGGUAGAUGACUCACGAGAUUUGGUGAAGCUAGUCUUGUCGAGGGUCAUAGAGAAACUCUGUGUUGUGUGGAUUCAAGAACCAGCAGUUUUCGUUGGAGUUGAAGAAGAGGUCCAAUGGAUCCAAAGAGAGUUGAUGCACGCUCGGCUAAAAUAUACUUAUGUCCCAGAACAAUUAAUGGAUGUUGCCUAUGAUUUUGAAGAUGUGAUUGAUGACCUUAUACUCAGAUCAGCCGCAAAGCAAAGGAGAAUAGGAAACUGGGAGAGGUGCCUUUUGUUAAUAAGAAUUCACAAGAAGCUGGAAUUGAUCAAGUCUAAGAUCCCUGAUCUUCCUCGUCUCUCAUAUUGUUCGGAAGCAUGUAGUGCCUGCUCCUUUAACUACAGUAUUGAAGAAAUAGUCUGGUCAGGCAUCUUCUUGAUACAUGGUCAGAGUGUGGCAAACACGGUUGUUUCCCCAGUGGAAGAGAAGGUAUCAGCUCUGCUAGCUCAGGAGGCAAUUCAUCCCUAUACCAAGAAGAAGGCCAUGCGGGUACUAGACAAACUCAGGUCUCUGAAUGGUUUUCUCAAAGGCUUAGAAUCAGUAGAAUUAGAUGAUGGUGGAAUGGUUUGGAUGGAGGAGCUGUCCCAUGUUUGCCUGUCUGCUGUGGUAGCCAUUGAGGACUUCAUCAACAGAACACAACAGCUCACGAAAAGAAGUUCGAUGGGACCUUCCAAGGGAUUUCUUUCGGCUUUUGGCAAAUUGAAAUCCAAGGAUAAGCUUGCUGUGGAGAUGGACAAAAUAUAUGCCAAGAUCCAAAACCUCUCUAUUCACCGGCCAACAGCAGUCAACCCACAAGGUCAAAGUAGGAACCCAACGUCUACCUUGGGUUCCACCGAGCGAAUCCCACGGCAGCCAACAACGCAAGAACCUGAUCUCGCCAGCUUUGGUGAUGAUGUGCAUGCAAUGAUAGCACGGUUGCUUACAGAUGAUCAGAAUUUCAGAGUGAUUCCAAUUAUGGGUAUGCAAGGCAUUGGAAAGACAACCCUAGCAAAUUUGAUCUUUAACCAUAAAGCUGUUGUGGAUCAUUUCCCCUUUGCUGCUUGGAGGUCAGAUGGCUAUCGAUUUCAGGUACGUAACAAGGGAGAAUUGUUGCAGUCCGGUCGAAGUCAAUGCAGAGUGUGGAGUAAUCAAUACGAGAUGCAACGGUUGAUACCUUUCUUGAUUAAUGACAGGUCUCUGAUAGUUGUCGAUAAUUGGAAUUUCUUGGUCGACGACCUAGAAAUGCUUCCAGAUGCAUUAAAUGGCAGUAGAAUUAUUUUGACCACUUGCGAAACAAAGCUACCUCCAAAUCUCAAAAUGAAGAGUGAUCCUCACCCACUGCGGUUACGGACAGAUGAGGAGAGUUGGGCAUUGUUUACCCAUGCUUUGAAAUUUAGCAUACCCCCAGAAUUGCUAAAGCUGAAAGACGAAAUUGCAAAAAGAUGUGGGGGACUGCCACUGCUGAUUGUAAAAUUGGCGGAAGCACUCUCACAUAAGGAUGCAACCAUUGAGGAGUGGUCCACUGCACUUCAACAAUUUCAUCAUGACCAACAGCAACUUUGGCCCAAUACCCUCUACAAGAUCCAUAAGGAUUUGUCCUUGUACAUGAGGAGAUGUCUAUUUUAUUUCACUCUAUUUCCUCAAGAUUUUGAUAUUCCGGCAAGAAGAUUGAUAACAUUAUGGGUUGCAGAGGACUUGGUACAGCCAGAGGGCGAGAAUGAAACUCCAGAAGAUGUUGCAGAAAGGUGUUUGAAUUUGUUGAUAGCCCAGGGAAUGGUUCAAGUGACAAAGAAGAAGCUUAAUGGGAAUGUUAAAAUGGUGCGAUUGCCAGAAGCCCUAAGACAAUAUUGGUCAUCCAAAGCUCAACAAGCCACAUUUCUUGGAGUUCAUACUAACACAAGAUCUGAGUUGUCCCUAGGCACCAAUAAGAUCCGUCGUCUCGUUGAUCAUCUUGACAAAGAAGAUAUCAGCUUUGACCAUAUUCAUGGUAAUCACAACACAACUUCUAGUACUUCUUUGACACCUUAUUACGAAGAUGUACUUUCUUUUCUGUCCUUUGAUACUCGAAAAGAAAGCAAACCAGGAGAAGAAGUGGGAAACUUUCUUCGUCAAAGCAUAUCCAGUGGUUGCUUCCUAGUACUGCUCGUGCUUGAUCUCGAAAAUGUAUUCAGACCAAAGUUACCUGAGGCAAUGGGCAAACUUACUCGACUAAGGUACCUUGGCUUAAGAUCUACAUUCCUCGAGAUACUUCCAUCAUCUAUAAGCAAGUUGCAGAAUGUUCAAACACUGGACAUGAAGCAUACUUGCAUCAACACUCUUCCUAAUUCAAUCUGGAAUCUACAACAAUUGCGACACUUACACUUGAGUGAGAGUUGUCGAAGUAAACUUAUCCUUCAACAUGAUGCAAAUUUUCCUACAAUCCUCCAAACAUUGUGUGGGCUUCUUGUAGAUGAGGAGACUCCCGUAAGAGAUGGCCUAGACAGGUUACUCAAUAUUAGGAAAUUGGGACUGACAAUAUCAUCUAAACAAGAGGCAAUAACAUUGCAACUGCAGGCAGUAGUUGACUGGGUUCUAAAACUGAACCAACUCCGCUCUUUAAGGCUCAAAUCUAUUGAUGAAAGCAAUCAGCCAUGGGAUCUAGAGUUGAAGCCUUUAGUAAGCCUUGUGAAUCUUUCUUACAUUUACUUGCUCGGACGGUUAAGGAAUCCAUCCAUUAUGUCCCAAUUCCCAUACAGCCUCAUCGACCUCACCUUAUCAGGGUCAGGACUUGUAGAAGAUCCAAUGCAGUCACUGGAUAAGCUUCCCAACCUUAGAAGUCUUAAAUUGCUUGCCAAAUCUUAUUUAGGGAAGAACAUGCUUUGCUCUUUAGGAGGCUUUCCUCAGCUUCGAGUUCUUAAACUAUGGAAGUUAGAGCAACUGGAGCAAUGGAAUGUAGAGAAAGGAGCACUACAAGCUCUCCGAGAUUUGGAGAUUAGGUUCUGCAGAAGUCUGAAAAUUCUUCCUGCAGAAUUGCUACAUAGAACUCUCUUGAAAAUUGAAAUUAUAUCUGCCCAGUAAGUUCACUACUUCAUCUCUUGAAAUUUGGUUUAUAACCUACUUUAACAUGAGAUGAUUGCUUGGGUAACAAACAACCUGAUAAGCCAUUGUGUUUUCUUUCUUUCUUUUUUUUGUUUGACUAGGGUGUGAGAAGCUGAGCGAGAAGGUUCUGGUCUACUUCUUCGUGUUGGGCUUUGCUUUCCAUUUCAAUGUUUUUGCUGUUGGAGCAGAUAUUCAAAUACUCAUGAGGGCAGUUCUCAGUUGCAACAAUUUAUAGAGCUCAUUUUUUUUAAUAUGGUUUCCAUCCCUUCUGCUCAUUAUUCUGUUCUACCAUUGAUGCUAUGUUUUUGUCUUUCAAACCUUAAAUGCAUACUGUAUUGUACUUGUUAGUAGAUUCUAUAACUAGUGUUUGUGAACUGUAGAAUCAGGGCAUCAUGAACACAAUGGUGUUGUGGGUGUGAAUGUUAUAGAAUUUUGGUUUGUGAUUGUAUUUGGAUUGAAUGGAGUAUUUUUUUCUUUCAGUUGAUGUUUAUCGGAUAGAAUUUAACCAGUCUGCUGGAAUGCACAUAGAGAGAAAAUAACUAUUCUCCUCUUGCCCAGAUGGAUGAAGGAAAGUAAGAUUAAUCCUCCACCUUUCUGUAGCUUAUUUUGUAAGUGUAUUAGAUUCAAAGUCUUCAAAUACGUUAUAUUAAUAUAUCAAAGAAAUACUUCCUGUUGCUCACAAGCUCAGAUCAGAGCCCACCAUGGCUUGCAUGGCCGCUUACAUGCCCUGCCCAUUCCAAUAGUUAGUCCAUUUAGUCCAAAUACAAUCUCAAAGCUUACACCCUUUCCUUCUUUUCAAUUUAGAAGAGCCUACCACUACAGAUUUGGACAUUGGAUCAUACAAUAUAAUUAUGGGGCAAUAGUUACAACACCCAUUUGAAAUGGGAUUCAUCCACCUCCAAACCAAAGCUGCUGGUUAUUGAAGGAGAAGAACAGAGAGUUUCUCUAACAACCUCCAUCCAAUGCUUCCUGACAUGAGAUAUCUAUCUCUGUCCUGCUUCCUUAACUUCAAUCUGUUCCAUCUGCUUCUUCUUCUUUUGGUAUGGUCAGUAUGGGGGUUCUGGAAAUGAACAGCAGAGCUUUCACCCAAGUGAGACAUUUGGUUUUGGAAUCAUACAUUUAGCUUGUGGUUUGGGUGUUUGAAACAGGGCAAUUAAAAUACAGUUUCCAGAAUGCCAGAAAAAUUUAAGGCCUAAAUUCAUGGACAAGUAUAGGUCAGAAACUAUUGAGCUUUAAGAUUUCACAGGGGAAGAGUAAUAUAACUGGCAACUGCAAUACGUCAUUCUGAUAUAGCUGCAGGAAGCAGCCUUUCCUGCACUACAGCCAUUCUGCAUGAGGCUUACUACUUUUUCAGCACUUUCAAGCCCUUAAUUGGAGCUCUCCUUCAUUCUUUUUCCAAAAUAUGCCUUGGGAGUUUUUCCCAGAGAGGAAGUACAUAACAGCUAGAAACCAAGCUGUACAUCCUCAUCAAAAGCAAGACACUCCUGAAUUAUUUUUUGGGAAUCCCAAUUAUAUAAACACUGGUUCUCUAUUUAGGUUAUGUACAGACUUGUUAGCAGCCUUAGGUGGAGACUUUCAGGAUCUUAGUGUAUGUUUGGUCAUUUCCAAGGCAAACAUAUGCUAAAAUUUCAAAUUGUCAAAAGACAAUAACUUUUGUAAAUGUCUCUUCCAAUCCCAAACAGAUACUUAAACACUGCAAAGUUCUUCCAUUCAAAUCAUUUCUCUAUCAUUUAAUUAUUCUCCUCUCGAAUUGUUAAUUGGAAAUGUACAUGAACCUGAAUUUGUCUUAUCUUUCUGUCCUCCUUCAUUUUGGGAUUAAUUGCAAAACAACUGUAUUUCACAUGUUCUGGUCCUGUAUCCAGCACCAUUAUGACCGGUCUAUCUCUUCAGUGUCCACAAUACAAGGGAAAUUUCUAAAAUACAAAGAGGCAGAGAAAGGAUCUUAAUGUUGGUUCAUUCAGACCUCCCAAAAUUCUUCUUGCCCUCUCAUGUGCUGCUGAUUUGAGUAUGAAGUAAUUAUCAUAAGUCAUGUUCAUUAAUUUCAGUACGAAUCCAUAAAGCCUAUGAACCCCAGUACACAAUUUACUUCUGAUCCAUUGAAGCUGUUCUUCAACUUCAAACAAAGCUUCUGGUUCUCAAAGAAGCAGAAAAGACCCUCACUCUGUCACCCUCCAUAUAACACACUCUGCUUCCUACAUCAUCAUUCCGAAAAUCUGUCUGUCUGUAUGGUCCUUAGGGAAGUGAACAAGAAAGCUUUCACAGAAUAGAGCCUUUGGUUUUAGUACCACAAAGUUUAGGCUGUGAAUGAAACAAGAGCAAUAGAAAUAGAGUUAAACAAAAUGUCAGCAAGAUUGACCUUGAUUACUUGAUUGUUGCCUGCAAGCACAUGGAUUAUACUCUGCCUUCUUAGCCAUGCAAGGGCUAAGCUGCUUGCAAUUUAAGACUGUUAAUAAAACUUGAAGGGAAUGAGAAUGUCCUAGUUGAUAAGGUGAUGUAGGACAAAAGACCAUUUUACUUUCCUUAUUAACAAUAUAUAUAUAUAUAUAUAUUGGAUUCUUUUGCCUAGGACAAAAGAGAACUGCAACACAAAAUACAAUAGACAUCCAAUUGUUGAUGAUCAAAGGAGAGAAUUACAACCUUGUUUAGCAUUCGACAAGCUGAGCUCAAAUUUAUUUCUUUAAGCUUGGUUAGAGGUUGUGUCCUCAACUAUAGACUGUAUCUGAAGAAUAUGAUAUUGUGAGUUAAAAAAAAAUUAAUCCCAAAAAAAUAACAUAUAUUAUCUGCUUCCCACAGCUCCGAAGCUAUCAUGUCUGCUGAACAAUCAGAGUAUGAUUAAUUGCAAUACCAAGCAAAGGAAGACCUCUACUCUGAUAAUAAGGAAGACUAAAGCUUUUCAAGCCCUUUGUCUCCACCCUUUAGCAAGGGCCCAUUGGUGACAGUGAUACAAGAAACAACAAUAAUUGUAUCAUUUGCAUGAUGCUUUCCACUUUUUCAACGCUUUCAAGUGCUUAUUUGUAGAUCUAAUUGUAAGAUUUUAAGACUUGCAAAAACAAGCAAUCCCUUAUUCUGAAUAAAUCUUGGGAGGAGGCUUUCAGAGUGAUUGAGGUUGACCUUGCAUUCAUGUAAAAAUUUUCAAAACCCAAUUUAAUCCACACAUCUAUUUGGUGAACAGAAAAACUCUCAUUUCAAUGCCUAUUUGGAGUAUUUGUCAUUUGAAGGAGAGUACCGGCUGUGAAACAUAAAAUGUGUGACAUGCUUAACAUGACAUAUAGAAAGUGUUUGGCAAGAAAAUGUGAAUUAUAUGACAUACCUUGCCACCAUGUACUUAACAUUGAAGGUUACAUUAAAUUUGAAACGAAUCAUUUAAACCAUAACAGUAACAAAUACAACCGCAAUAUUUCUGAAUAUGGAGGUGACAAACUAUCCAUUCUGAGACAUUAAAGGAUGCCAAAAAUUAAUAACAAGUCGUGACGGCUGUGAGACAUUGGAGUAAUUUGCAGUCAUUGACAUUAUUGUAUCAUCCAUUUUAAGAAUAAUGUAGUUGAAAGUUAUCAAAUAUUCAAGCAAUCACACAAAAUAAGCUUUGGCUAGAGAAAGUCUCAGACAAUACUAAAAUUUAAAAAUAAGUUAUUGCAACCAAAUGUUACAACAAGAAAACACUAUUCAGCGUUUGUCUCCUCUGUCAUCAUAAUAAAUAUUAUGCUCUAUUACGUCUUUGUUAAAUUAAGUUCAAAAGUUACAUCCAGAGAAUUGAUGGUGUAAUUCAUCUUAUCUAGAUAUGUUUUAACAAUACCUUCCAUUUACAUCAUUACCAAAGUUAAGACAAAUCAUAUUUUCUUGCAUUAGCUUUUGGGAAUCCACAAUAAUAAACACAAGUUCUCUCUUUAGACUAUGUCUAGGCUCGUUGGUGGCCUUCUGUGGGGCCUUUCUAGAUCUUCGUAUAUAUUUGGUCCAUCUCCGAGACAAGCUUAGGCUGACAUUUAAAAUUGUCAAAAGUCAAAACAACUUUCCUAAAGGUCUCUCUUCCAAUUCCCUUUUAAGUUGUUUCCUUCUAUUAAUGAAUAUCCCAAUGGCAUCCAAAGCAGAUACAUAAACACUGAAAAGCUCACCCAUUUAAAUCAUUCUUUUAUCAUCUAAUUCUUCUAACUCUUUCACUCUUAAUCAAUCCUUUAAACAACUUAAUUUUUUUUCCCAUAAUAGGACUAUUUUGCCCCAAAACUGUAUUUUAGCCCCCUGUAACUUUCUGAAAGAAGAAAAAACAAAUCAAAGAAAAAUAAACAAAAACCGACAAGCCCUCUAUAAAAGACCUAACAAUAACAAAGGGAAGGAUCUUCAUAAACAAAACUAAGAAAGAAUUGCAAGAAGUUGAUUACUUGAGCAACUUCACCAACCAAAGUUGUUGAUUCCCCAAGGAGCAAAAUAGAAAGUUUACCUAUCACCCUAUGUACAAUGCUCUCCAUAUACCGGUUCUACUUCACCAUUAUCAAACUGUCAUAGCCCUUUUUCUUCUUCUUCUGGUAUACUCACUGAGGAUUUUGGAAAUUCCAAAGCUUUCUCACUAAUGAUGCCUUUUUGUUUUGGAACAACAAAUUUAGCUUGUGGCACGGGUGAAUGAAACAAGGCAUUUAAACUAUAUAUACAGUUUACAGAAUGCCAGCAUAUAUUAAGGCCUAAAUGACAAAAGAUAGCCCCCAAUUACUCAGAUGAGGUUAAAUUUUGUGUGUCAAUUUGUCACGCCCCAAAACCCACUCCAAGGGCAUGACGGUCAUUUCACACUUCAAGCCCAAAAGCUCAAAGCGGAAACAACACAAACAUUCAUAUUGUAACUGAAAAUUUACCAAUUACCAAAUUCCUAUUCAGAAUAGUAGAACAAAAAUUCUAAAAUCUCCAAAUAAUAAUUUUUUUUAAACUAACACAUCAAACCAAGUGUUAUUAUCCAAAUAACUCCAAACUCAAAUAAUACUAAUGGAAAACAAAUUUUAACAUCUAAACAAUGCUAAAAAAUAAAAUCAUUUCAUAUCAAAUACAAUUCAAUUGUUUUCACACUGGUUAUCAAAUAACAAGUGUCCAUUUAAGUGGGACUUUACAAAUAGGUGGUUAGCCUCAAAUGUUCCUUUUAAGGUGGACGGAACCAAAUACUACUAGUACUAGUAACCUCUAACCAAACCCUUAGAGGUUAGGGUCCAAAUCAAUUACAUUUCCCACCAUGAAAAUGUAAAGAUCAACUAUUAUAUCCCAUUGACAAGAGCCAAAAAGUCAACUAUUAUAUCCCGUUGACAAGGGUUGAAAAAACUAGAGUCAAAUUCUUUAUUUUAUUUAUUCCAACUGACAAAAGUAGAAAAUCCCCAAGUAUUUCGAUAUAAACAAAAUAAAUGUUAUAACACAUUUUUUUCAUACAAAAAUAUAUUUGAUCCAUGCUUAAAAUAAAAAUUAACAAUUACACAUUUCAAAAAACAUAUAUAUAUAUAUAUAUAUAUAUAUAUAUAAUUUUUUUUUUUACAAAAUCUGUAUUAAUUUCCCUUACCUCAAAAGAAGUCCUCAAAAACUUUGGAGAAAAAUAAUUCUAGAAAAUCUACUCUUCACCUAACAAAGUAUAAGAGAAAUAACCAUUAUUAUUUAUCUAAAAUUAUAGAUUUGACAAUCCUAAAAUUUUAGAUAUUCAAAUUAAUGUUUUUAAUUAUGAAAGAUAAUUUAAUCUAUUCCUAUUUAGAAAAAUUUAUAAAUUUCUAAUUCAUAUAAAACUUAAAUUUUAUUUUCAAUUUUUUUUUUAGGACAUGACAUAAUUUAAUUAAACUACAAUUUAUUUCACUAAUUAAAUUUUAUGCUACUUAUUAAUUUAAUAUUUAUCAUUAAUCUAAUUAUAAUACUAUAAUUUAACUAAUUUGUACUUCACCUCAUUUAUUAUACAUAAUUAUUUCUACCACUUUCAUAUUUUUCUAAACACAACUACUAUUAACACUCACACAAUCCAUGUAUAGUGCAUGCCUCAUUAUUAUUAUCACUUUCAUCAUUCUUCUAUCUUCCCGUUCUCACACGCAUGCAACUCUUUUUUUUCAUCAUUCUUCUAUCUUCCAGUUUCCACACGUAUGCAACAUUUUUUUUUUUUUUGCUAUUGUGACAGUUUCAAAACCUAUUUAUUAUUAUUACACACUAUUAGAAAUCACCCAAUACAUUGAAAUCUUAUAAUUUUUUUUUUCACUCCCACAUAUAAUAAUAUAUUUAUUUACUCAUUUAAUUUUUGAAAUCCAUUGCUUAGAUCUAUUCAUCUAAGAAAUUUUGAAUUUCCCUAUUUUCAUCAAUAAAAAAACCUAUAUUUCUAAUUUCAAUAUUUUGACCUAAAAGUUUUAAAAUAAAUUAACCCUAGCCUAAAUCGAAAUCUUCCAAAGAAUUUUUUUUUUCAUCUAAAAACUUAAGAUUUCCCAAUUUCCAACAAUAAAUUAAAAAAAAUUCAAAGAAUAACUAGCGUGUUCAGAACUAACUAACAAAUAUAAUAUAUUAAUUUAGGGUUAGAAUCUUACCUGAAAAAAUCUGAACUUCAAACUCUAAACCUCUAACCCUUGAGCCCUACGAUCUCCAAUUAUCUAAUUCUGGUUUAUAGAGUUUUCUGAAUAAAGAAGACAAAAGGAAAAUGUAAUUUAUACCUAGGAUUUUUAAUUGUAAAAGAACUCUUUCACCCUUAAUGAAUUUAAUUAAUUACUUAAUUACUUUAUAAAUUACUAUUUUUCCCCUAGAUUAAAUUUUGGGGUGUUACACGAUUUCUUUUCUAAUCUCAUAUUUCAAGAAACUUAACAGAUAGAAUUAAAUAGGCUAGAAAAUGGAUGCUUGCUCCAAUCCAAGACAAAUUCUCAUAUUGUGCAUGGCUGCUUUGUGACAAAACUCAGGAGCCUUCACUGCUUGUCACCCCAAUGGAUUAUUCCUUUAAUUUACAGUUUGUUGCUUGACUACAGGUUAAGGUGAGGGGUCGUCCCUUAUAUAUUGUUGGUCCUUGGUUCUUCUAUUGCUUCCCUUAUCCAUCAAUCUAUCUAUACAACUAUCUAUCUAUCUAUCUACAAAUAUAUAUAUAUAUAUAUAUAUAUAGAGAGAGAGAGAGAGAGAGAGAGAGAGAGGAAGAGCAAAAUCUUUUUCUUUGUUCAUAUCAGCAAAGCUUGCAGCUACUUUCCUAGAGAGUUUGACAAAAUAUUGGGAUACCAUAGAAGAAACAAAGGCAAAAACUAUGUUAAUUUUGGUGAUCAAAUGACUGGUAGCCGAUGAUACGAUUGACUGAGAAAACCAUGGCAUAUGUUAUCAUCAAACACUAUGGAAAAGGAGAAGGGAUAAUUUGGGAGUGUAAAUAAUCCACACACUUGAGAAUUACAUAUUUCAAAUUUUUCUUUGAAAUUUAGCUUUAAAAUAUGUUAUUCUCAAGUGCAAAGUGUAAAACUAGUAUUUAUAAGCUAGAUUGUCUAUUGCUGAAACUAAAUUAUGAUAUAUUUAUUUCAUUUUGUGAUUCUCCUAUGGACUUUCUUAUUAUUUUAGGGUAGAAAAAUAUUUUUCUUUUCUUACAAUAGGAGGUCAAGUUUAACUAUGUACAUGAUUUAAUAUAGUGAAUGAAGAUAAAUUCUUUCUUUCAAGGUAGUGUUUUUUUUUUUACUUAAUUCUAAAUAAAAUUUAAAAUUAAACAGUACUUAAUACUUAACAAUAUGAAAUUAUUUGUUAUUUUUUAAUAUAUUCUAUUAAAUAUUAAGAAGUAAGAAAAAAAAAAACCAAUACUCACUUUAGUUAUGGUAAUUCACUUUUAGCAUUGAGAAAAUACCAAAUAUUUAUUUUUUUCAUUUAAUAAAAAAAAUUAAGAAAUAAUUAAUAAAUCAAAAAAAAAUUAAAAAAAUAUAUCAUUUGAAAUUUGCAAAUGAGUUACUUUCAACAAAAAUUAAAAAAAACAAACAUCUCCUUAGUUUAUGGAAAGGUCAUGAAUUUGAAUCUUAUUACAGUUCAAUACUCUUGUAUAUUUAUUUAGAAGGUGUAUUGAGUGUUGGAUGUUAUCAGGCUUUAAAUUUUAGCUCAAUAUGUUUUUUAUAUAUAAUUAAACCAUUACGGAUGGUUUAAUUUUUUUAAUAAAUUGCACAAGUACAAGCAAUUAGUGACUUAAACAUAAUUUGUUCUCUUCAGAUGUUAUAAUGGUGUUGCAAUCUAAUUUGUGCGUAAUCAUUCCCUAGUUUCUAACUAUAAAAUUUUCUUCGAUUGUGCAAGAGGAUGAGGAACAGAAUUUGUGUAAGGUGAGGUUAAGCAAAAUUUCCCAUUAGUUUAUUGGACAUUCCAAGAUGAUUUUCAUCACUUUCCUCUUGUUUAUGAUCAACAUGGCCCUACACAAUUAAAAAGUAAAUAGUCAUUGGAUAAAAUAUAAAAAAAAAUUACUAAUAAAAAGCUAAGUGUUCGUGUGGAUAUACUUCCUAUUUUCUAUUUUUAAAAACCAAAAAAUAAUAUUAUUAUUUUCAAAGUGUUCUUGUGAAUAAUGUUUCUAAGAAAAGUUUAAUGCACUAAUAUAUUAUUGAUGUAAAAAAAAAUUGUAUUACAAAUAUUUCGCACAAAAAUCAGUUCAAAUAAAUAUGUAUAUGUAUUUUAUUUGGCUUGUUAAGUAAUUUGUGGACAUGACCUAAGUUAUGAAUCAUAUAAGUCAUUCCUUGAUCAAUAUGGAAUAUAUUACUCGUCUUGAUAUCCUUUCUAAUAUUCUUUAUAUCAUCUCUCAUUUUUCAUAUCACUUUUCAUAUAUGAUCUCUCACAUUUUUUGUAUUUAUUCUCACAUUUUAUUUAUACUCAUUCUUAUAUUCUUUAUACUCUCUCACACAUUUCAUAUACCUAUUUUUAUAUUCUUUGUACCUCUUCUUACUUUUUUCACACCUUUUAUUAUAAGAUUCAACCAUCUCUCACAUUCUUCAUAUUUUGUCUUAUAUUCUUUGUAAAUCAUCUCAUCACAGUCUUAAUUUUUAUUUUCAUAUUUUUUGUACGUUCUUUCACAUUCUUUACACGCUUACAAAAACUAUUAAUGGUUGCAUAUUCAAAUAUUAUUUGACAUCAAAUUUUGACUUAUUGAAUUUAUAUUUAUAUUUAUAUAUAUAUAAAAAAUUAGAGUCGAAACCACUUAGAUUCUUUCUUUCAAUAUCUUCAUAAAGAAACACAAAUCUCUGAUUUCUAUAUUUUCUUCAAGAGAUACAAAAUUUGAUCUUAAAAUUUAAUGGAUAAAUUUUUAUACAUAUAUAAAAAAGGUGUUUUGAAUUUUAUAGAGAGAGAAUUUCUCACUUUGUCCAAGAAACUCACUACCAUUGUGGAGACAUUUAAUUUGUUUGUUUAUGUUGACUCUUUGUGUUACAAGUCUUUCCGAAAGAGCCUACCAGUAUUCCUCUUAGAAAAAGGGUGGAGCAGUCCAUUGUCUCCCAUAGAGAAAAACAAAAACAAAGAGGAACUGAUGGUAUUGGGUGGUCAAUAUAUGGAGGCCACUGAAAGUUGGCUUUCAGAGGAAAGUAUAUACUUUAUAUACAUACAUAGGGAGGAAAGGAGACAAGAGGUCAAGGGGGAAUGUUCUUAGAAAGAGAAGAUGAAGGUGGUGAGCGUGAACUGGGUAGGAAAUUAAGAAUUUUAAAUGAAGAGGACGGAGAAAAUGAUCAAGGAAAGACUUGGUUUUACUUGUUAGUACCCAGAUUUCCUUGCCAUUGUGAGUUUGUUUCCAAGGCCGCCUCCACCUCAGUCCUUUGCUGUUCGCGGCCAGCUUCAUCUUGGCAGUAUGAAAUGGCUAUUGGGUUUCGUCGGCGGGGGCAUGGUCGCCUACAGCUUCUUGUAAGAACAAUGAAAAUUCGAUCAACUCUGCAAUAUCAUCUCCCCUUUUGUUAUCCUCCUGAAAUGACUGUUAUUAAAUAUUUAUGCGUUAAUAAUUUCAGUUAUUGUUUCCUUUUAUUCAUCAUCCUCCAGCAUUAUGUUAGAUAUUUUGUUUUUCUUCCCACAUUGGUUUAGUUUCUAUAUGCUUGUUCGGAUUGAAAACAAAAUCCACAUCUCUUGAUAAUUCUUAAGAUAUGUUUCUGUUGCUUUCCCCACAGAAAAAUGCUGCAUGAAUACUUUACAAGGAAGGAAAGGGAGGAGGUGUGGAGGAUGAUGGCAGAGGGUAGAAAUGAAGAAGCUAAGGAGAUGCAGCAUAGAAACUCUCCGUUGAAGAUGAACGACACAAUAAAUUGGGCGGAGGUACACGACACACGAGAUUUGGUGAAGAUGGUCUUGUCGAGGGUCAUAGAGAAACUCUAUGUUGUGCGGAUUCAAGAACCGGCAGUUUUGGUUGGAGUUGAAGAAGAUGUCCAGUGGAUCCAAAGGAAGUUGAUGCGUGUUCGGGUUAAACCUAAAUAUUCCCCUGAGGAAUUAAUGGACGUUGCCUAUGAUUUGGAAGAUGUGAUUGAUGACCUUAUACUCAGGUCAGCCGGAAAGCAAAGGAGGAUAGGAAAUUGGGAGAGUUGCCUUUUGAUAAUCAGAAUUCAUAAGAAGCUGGAAUUGAUAAAGUCUAAGAUCCCUGCUCUUCCUCGUCUCCCGAUCAUAAUAGCAGCAGGUGCCAACCAUGAUAGCUACUUUGAAGAAAUGGUCUGGUCAGACAUCUUCCUAUCACACGAUCGGAAUGUUGCAAACACAAUUGUUUGCCCAGUGGAACAGAAGGUAACAGCUCUGCUAGCUCAGGAGGUAAUUCAUCCCCAUACUAAGAAGAAAGUCAUGCGGGUGCUAGACAAAUUCAGGUCUCUGAAUGAUUUUCUGACAGGCUUACAAUCAGUGGAAUUAGACGCUUGCGAUAUGGUUUGGAUGGAGGAGUUGUCCCAUUUUGCCCUGUCUGCUGUGACUGCCAUUGAGGACUUCAUCAAUAAAAAAGAACAGUUCACAAAAAGAAGUUGGAUGAGACCUUCCAGGGGAUUUCUUUUUGCUUUCGGCAAAUUGAAAUAUGAGGAUAAGCUUGCUGUGGAGAUGGACAAAAUAUAUGCUAAGAUCCAGAACCUCUCUAUGCACAGGCCAACAGAAUUGAGUAGACAAAGUCAAAGUAGAGACACAGAGUCCACCGUGCGAAUCUCACCACAGCCAACGACGCAAGAACCUAAUCUCGCCAGCUUCACUGAUGAUGUACAUGCAAUGGUAAAACGGUUGCUUACAGAUGACAAGAGUUUCAGAGUGAUUCCAAUUAUGGGUAUGGAAGGCAUUGGAAAGACGACCCUUGCAAAGUUGAUCUUUAACAAUAAAGAUGUUCUAAACCAUUUUCCUUUUGGUGUUUUGACGUCUGCUGGCUAUGAAUUUCACCUACGUGACAAGGAGAAAUUGAUGGACUCCAACCUAAGUCAACUAGGAGAUGUGUGGAAUUAUCAUGUUGAGUUACAGAGGCUGAAAGCUUUCUUAAUUGAUAAAAGGUCUCUAAUAGUUCUGGAUGAUAUUCGUAUCCCAUUCUUAGACCAUGUGUUAAGAAUACUUGCAGAAUCAUCAAACGGAAGUAGAAUGAUUUUGACUACUCACAAAAUCAGUUUACCACCAAAUUUCCGAACGAUGAGUGAUCCUCACAUACUGCGAUUACGAGGAGAUGAGGAGAGUUGGGCAUUGUUUACCCAUGCUUUGAAAAAGAGCAUACCCCCGGAAUUGCUAAAGCUGAAAGACAAAAUCGUAAGAAGAUGUGGGGGUCUGCCACUGCUGAUUGUAAAAUUGGCAGAAGCACCCUCACACAAGGAUGCAACCAUUGAAGAGUGGUCCACUGUACUUCAACAGUUUCAUCAUGACCAACAGCAACUUUGGUCCAACACCCUCUAUAAGAUCCAUAAGGAUUUGUCCUUGUACAUGAGGAGAUGUCUAUUUUAUUUCACUUUAUUUCCUAAGGAUUUUGAUAUUCCAGCAAGAAGAUUGAUGGCACUGUGGGUUGCAGAGGAUUUGGUCCAGCCAGAGGGCGAGAAUGAAACUCCAGAAGACGUUGCAGAGAGGUGUCUGAAUAUGUUGAUAGCCCAGGGAAUAGUUCAAGUGACAAAGAAGAAGCUUAAUGGGAAUGUUAAAAUGGUGCCAUUGCCAGAUGCCCUAAGACAAUAUUGGUUAUCCAAAACGCAACAAGCCACAUUUCUUGGAAUUCAUACUGACACAAGAUCUGAGUUGUCCCUAGGCACCAGCAGGAUCCGUCGUCUUGUUGAUCAUCUUGACAAAGAAGAUGUAAGCUUUGAUCAUAUUCAUAGUGAUUACAACACAACUUCUACUUCUUUGGCACCUUACUAUGAAGAUGUGCUUUCUUUUAUGUCCUUUGAUACUCGAAAAGAAAGCCAACCAGGAGAAGACUUGGGAAACUUUCUUCAUCAAAGCAUAUCCAGUGGUUGCUUCCUAGUACUGCUCGUGCUUGAUCUUGAAAAUGUAUUCAGACCGAAGUUACCUGAGGCAAUUGGCAAACUAACUCGACUAAGGUACUUUGGCUUAAGAUCUACAUUUCUCGAGAUACUCCCAUCAUCUAUAAGCAAGUUGCAGAAUGUUCAAACACUGGACAUGAAGCAUACUAGCAUCAACACUCUGCC
rnacentral:lncRNA from 1 species